AAGAUAUUAGUGAAGUGGAAUUUUCUUCGCGGUCGGGAUUGGAGUUGAAGAGGUGCGGUUUGCAUCCAAUAUAUGUGCAUCAAGGGGAUAAGUUCAACCAAACAAGUGAUCCGGUUUGGAAUUUGAACGAAUUCGGUCACGAUUGUUUAGGUUCAACAUCCUUUAUGCGUAGCCUUAAUGAUGACUUAGACAGGGCAGAAGGCAGUGGAAGUUGCUGCGGGGAUGAUGCAGGAGGAACGACGUCGUCUGAGCGAAGCUUUCUAAAGCGAAGUCUUGAAGGAUAUGUUGGGGCGGCUGAAGCUAGUGGAAGUGGCUGCUGUAAUGAUGAGGAGGAACCACAACCUAAAAGAUUUAGACAACUCGAAUGAAGGGCACAUAAUUUAUUUUUCUCUGCAGAUCGCAUUUCAUUUACUUUCUUUGUAUUUAUUUAUUGUAUCUGUUCUUGUUACUUAUUUCCCUGUUAAAUUACCAGAAAAUGCCUGGCUUGGGUCAAACAGUUGGACAGAUGUUUUAUUACUCUGUUUUUUCUGCUUUGCUUUAUUACUCUGUUUUUCCUGCAAAAGAUGUCGUACAUAGAUGCGGUGAGCGCGAGUUGUUUGGUAUACUUGAAGGGGCUCGCUCGGGACCACAAUGACUAAUUAUUUAAUGUUGUGUGUUAAAUAUUAAAAUAUGCGGAUAGCUUAUUGCUUUUGAGACCUAAGAGUCAUUGAUACUCUGUUUUUUCAACCUAAAAGUAUUUAUUUAAUCUUAGGGUGAUUGAAAACAAAUUGACGAAUUACCAUUAAACAAGCAACAAAAUAACAAAUUCUUUGAAAAGAAAGUAUAUAAUAGAAAGAAGAAAUUAUCACAUAAAAAAAAAAUGUUCCAGUUUUUGCCUUUAGCCUCUCCUCCCCAAGUUGUCGGGCAUGGACUUGCUUUCGCUUCCGAAAGGAAAAAAUAAAAUAAACAUAUGUAUAUUAACAUAAUUUUAAUCUUCAAAAAAUAUUUUAAUACUUUACAGUAUUAUAUUAUAUUAAACUAAAUUUUAUAAUGGAUAUAAACAUAAUAUUAAAAUAAAUAUAUAAAGAUUCAAUUAUUUUAAAUUUAUAUAAAAUAAUUUUAAUAUUAUCAAUACAUGAGAUAUUUUUUAUUAGUUGUAAAAUCUAUUUAACCCAAAUAUUUAUUUAAAAAUUUAAUAUUAACCAUUAGAUUGUGAAAGAUUAAUGGCUCAUUUUUUGUGUCAAAAUUUAAGUUAAAAUAUCCAAAACCAUGCUUUCAUAACGAGAAUAUAAAAUAAAUAGAUAAUAUUUCAUGAAUAUUAUUGGAGGUAAUAUUUACUUAUUAUAUUAAUUACCAUCAUAAAUGCAAUCAGCCUCUUGGUGACAUAAAAUUUUGUAACCACAAUCAAUUAAUAUCAACAAAACAAUCUUUCAUGAUUCAUAAACUAUAUAGCUAAUUAAGAAUUUAUGUUAAUUUCAACUUUACGAAAUCAACAAAGUGAUAUUGGAAAAUUAAAUGAAAAUAGGCUUGUAAAACUUAAACUUAUAUUCCUACCAUAUAAAAGUAUUCACUGUAACAUAAUCCAUAAUUUCAUGGUAUAGGUUGUGCUAAAUUGAUGUGAAAAAUAAUAUACACUUCAUGAUUAAUCAUCCAAUGAUCCUUAAUAAUAUACAAAAUAGUGAGCAUUAUGUUAAAUUUUAUUAAAGCAUGACAAAUGUGAAGAAUGACAGGGGCAGCAGCUGCAGACGGUGGACGUGAGGUGGCUUCGGGUUUUGCUAUUUUUCUAACUUUUUCUUCUUUUUUUUUUUUAUGAAAGUAAUGGAUGGUGGAGGGAGGAUUUGUGUAUGGGGAAUGGUUGAUGGUCAGGAAAGCUCUGCCUAAUACAAAGAAAGACUCUGAUACCACUUGACGCAUCGCAGAAGCGAUACUAAAUUUCAUUAUAACAUACGUUCUUGAAAAUUCAAGAAAAAAGGCUCUUACGAAGAAGAAAGUAUCUCAAUUAAGAAAUAUUAAAUAUUAUUGAUGAGAAGCUUAUGUAUGUUAUAAAGAACUAUCAGUAAGAAGCCUAUAUAUACUAAGUAGCCAACUUAAUCUUAAUCCUUCUUAAAUAAAAUAAAUAAUUUAAAAUCCUAAUUAGAUUAGAAUUCCAAACAUGAUCGAAUAAGUUUAAAAAAUAAGAUAAAUUCUAAUAAAAUACUAAAUACCCAAAUAUUAUAAUUCCUAAUAAAUUCUAAUUUAUUUUAUCUAAUAUGCUUCCUACAUUACUUUAUCGCUAUAUUGUCUGAAUCGAUGUCUCUUUUUACACUAGUAAAAAAAUGACCUUCUUUGAUACUAUUUUAGUAUCAAGAACUUGUUUUACUGACACCGAAUUCAGUGACACACCGAAUUUAGUGUCACUGAAUACGGUGCAAGAAACUUACUGACACAAGUUUUUUGUAUCAGCGAAUCUAUGUCACCGUAGUAUCAAAAAAAUAUUGAUGCUUGAACAUCACAUAUAUAACGAGACUAUGUUAUCAAACAAAUAAUGAUACAAAAGCAUAAUAAAUAUAACGAUACUUUGGUAUCAAUGUUUAUUUGAGAAAAAUUAAAAAAAAAAUUAGAAAUCCAUAUAAUAGAAAUUGAACAUUUGCAAUUGGCAUUUGAAUUGAAAUUUACAUUCAUCAAUAUGAAAGCUAUUACAUUGCAAUGAACAAUUUAAAAAUUAUUACAUUGUUUGAAACUUAUUACAUUGUUUACCAACUACAAAUAAUUUAUAAUCUGAUAUAUAGUAACAGCACAAUCUUCCAACACAUGUUUAUUGCUUCGCGGAUUCUUUCUUUCGGUAAUCGAAAUGAAGUCUUCUAUUAUUGUUUCCAUGUUCCAAUUUGACAUUUGCUCUGAUUAUUUAGUUUUGACCCACAUACAUGCUUUGGUUUAUUGUAAGUCAUCCGGCACCAUUCAAGACAUGCACAAUAAAAAAACUGAUAAAAUUUACAUGCUGCAAUCUACAUAGUUUCCUAAUGGCAUAUAAAUGCAUGCAAGACAAGCAUAUUAUAUUAACAAUAAAAAUUAUUUAACCGUUGUCCAAGAAAAAGAGGAGAAAUUAUUAACAACAUCAUGAGAGGAAGUCUAACAAUACAGUCAAACAAACAAAAGAAAACCCAUGCUUGGUUGUAUAACGAGCAUGGAAAGUUCAACACAAACACAAACACAAACACAGAGACCAAUGGAGUUAACCAAAGUAAUGAAGGAAUUUCUGUGCAACUGUCAGUGGACACACAGAGCAAUGGAGUUAACCAAAGUAGAGCAAUGGAGUUAACCAAAGUAAUGAAGGAAUUUCUGUGCAACUGUCAGUGGACACACAGAGCAAUGUGUGCAUAUGAGCAGGCACAAACAUGACAUCCAAGUGAAUAAAUUUAAAAUAUUAUAUCUGGCAAUUAAAUCAACACAAACAUGAGAAAGAAUAGAUCCAAUAAGGUAAAUCUAGACAACAAUGAUCAAAAAGCAACAAGACAAAAUUUGAGAAACAAAAGGUGAAAAUAAAAAUACCAGGCAUUUACUCCAGUAGCACCAUGGAUCAUAAAAAUUGACAGCUAAAAUAGGAUACCUGGAAAGGAAAUAUAAUACAAAUCAAAGAAGGCAUCAUUGCAAUUGCCACAUAGCAGAGAAAUAUUGUGAUCACAGAAUUGAAAAUAAAAAUUAUAAGUUGUGGUUCAGAGAAGGCUCACUUACUCGUGUGAAUAACUAUCAAAAUUAUUGGCAGUUAGCGUAUGAGAACCUUCAACAGAAUCAUCAUCAGCUUCCUCUCCAUGCUUAAGCGAAUGUAUAACAAGCAUUGAGUGGAAUUCAGAACCAGUGGGUCUUAAAUCAGGUCCUAUAGAAAAAUUGCGAAUAGUUUUUGUUAAAUUUAAUCUGUUCUAGAAACAAUGAAAAGCCAAAUAGAACUCCAUGAAAGCAUCAUGUUACACAAACAAUCCAGGUGGACGAUAAUAUACACUGAAUAUGCAAAAUGCACCCAUGAUAUCCAACAAAAGAGGCACAACUAUGUAAGCGGCAACCUACCAUUCCAAAUAAAAACAACAUAGAAAGGGCUGCUAUUAUGGAUAAUCCUGCACCAGAUAGUGAUGCCUCUGUCAAAUCCCUUGGAAUUUUCCUGCAAACAGAAAAGAAAUAAGUAACAAUAUAAACCCUGUGAUUUUAUCUAUGUGAUUUACUAAUACAAAGAUACGGGUUGGAUUUAUAAAUUACAUAGAAUCACCAACUUUCAAGUAUAAUGAGAUGGACGAAUUAUAAACAUUAUCAAACAAGUAAAAGCGAGUCGCUAACAAAGAGCAAUCAAAAUCCACUGUCACAAAUAGCAACAUGAAAGUGCAUAGUUUCAAAGCUUCGGAGUUUGUUCAAAAUUAUAAUAUUUUUAAUUCACAUACUAUUAUACUAAUAAAAGCUCGAACAUAUUUGUUGUCCCUACAGUCAAAUAUUUAAUUUCAUAUUCUUCUUAAAAUGCAUCAAAAUCCAUACAUUGUAAGUAUAAUGAAGAACAUAACUAUUAGUAUUAGAAUUUCUUAAGCAUUCAGCUGAUUCACUAAUAAUAAUAAUAAUAAAGCCUAUACAUAUAGAAGAAUACAAUCAUCAUACAGCCAAAAUCAGUGCAUUACAAGUAAUAAGUUAUAAAAGGCACAAUUACCUCUUUAGUUGCAGAUGAGUAGUUUCUCAAAGUGGAUACCACAGGGCGAAGUCUCUGGAUUAGAAACGCGUUCACAAGGAACAAUAGUCAGCAGUAAAAAAAAAAAAGGGCCAAAAUGAAUACUAUUUAGGCAUACUGAAAUAGAACCUCCUCCUGCAGCCACUUUCUACCUAAUAAACAUUAGCAAACAGAUAAAAGCGAGUCGCUAACAAAGAGCAAUCAAAAUCCACUGUCACGAAUAGCAACAUGAAAGUGCAUAGUUUCAAAGCUUCGGAGUUUGUUCAAAUUAUAAUAUUUUUAAUUCACAUACUAUUAUACUAAUAAAAGCUCGAACAUAUUUGUUGUCCCUACAGUCAAAUAUUUAAUUUCAUAUUCUUCUUAAACUGCAUCAAAAUCCAUACAUUGUAAGUAUAAUGAAGAACAUAACUAUUAGUAUUAGAAUUUCUUAAGCAUUCAGCUGAUUCACUAAUAAUAAUAAUAAAAGCCUAUACAUAUAGAAGAAUACAAUCAUCAUACAGCCAAAAUCAGUGCAUUACAAGUAAUAAGUUAUAAAAGGCACAAUUACCUUCUUAGUUGCAGAUUAGUUUCUCAAAGUGGAUACAACAGGGCGAAGUCUCUGGAUUAGAAACGCAUUCACAAGGAACAAUAGUCAGCAGUAAAAAAAAAAGGGGCAAAAUGAACACUAUUUAGGCAUACUGAAAUAGAAGAACCUCCUCCUGCAGCCACUUUCUACCUAAUAAUUCCCCAUAUCUUUAAUUGUUUCAAUUAAAAUACUGCCCUACUCACCAUAUAAACCGCCAAUAACAACACUAUAAAUAACACAAUCAGCAAACAGCCAAAAAAAAAAGGAUACAUAAUCAUAUCCUAUUUAAGUGAAUGUAAAUCGAAGUCUAUAAUUAGUUAGUAGACAAUAACAUCGUGUUUACGAUAUGCGAAUCAAAACAAAUAUUACAUAUAAUUAUUUUAAAAAAAAUUACUAACCGGCUUAUCUCAAGCAGACAUGUAAUAAAUCAUGCUUUCCAUCAAAUCAAGCAAAAUUUAUCAAAAUUAAUCAAACUACAGCUAUAGAAACAAUAAAAUCACAUUCGAAAUUAAGAGAAAAUUAGAAAAUUUUCAAAAAGAGAAAGAAAAUCGAUGAAAGAAAUAGAGCAAACACUAACAUUUGUUUCUCUGGUGUCCGCGUGUUUCAACACCUCGAACAGGGAGUUCUCAUAUAGAUUUGUGAAGCUAGUUUCUUUGACUUGCUCUUCCUCUUUCUUAUUCCUCCUCAUCUUGUUUGACUUUUUUCAUCCUUUGGUUGUCUUCGGUGGUGACCGAAGAAUCAAGACCCAUACGCUUCAUAAAGUAAAACUAGGAUGAUUUUAUUUUGUUGGGAGACUGAGAGUAAUUGUUUUGUUAAGACUGAAAAGGCUGGGUGAUUAGUUUUGUUUCAAUUUAGGGUUUCUUCAAAUGAGUGGGAAGGAUUUGGGAGAGAGGGAAGAUGAAGAGGGAAUAGUACUUUCGUCAAGGCCAAAAAAUUUCACGAGUGCUGAAUUUUAGACACCCUAAUUUUAAAAGUAAAACUACGUCGUUUGGAAUAAAAAAAAUUAAAAUUAAAAUUAAAAAUAUAUAUCUUAGUAUGAAUAAGAGUUUAUGAUACUAUAUUAUUAAUAACCACUGGCACUAAUACGUAAAACACACUAAAAGUUGCUUAGGUCAUCAAAUACUGAUAUUUUUUUAUUUAAAAUCAGCAACUUAAUAUCAGUGAAAGUCAUUUUUUUAGUAGUGUUAUUAAAAAAAAAACAUUUUCUCAUCAUCCAUUACUAAGGCCCCACUCAAUUGCUUGUCAAUUACUUCUUGAUCAACAAGUAAAUUUUUAAAAUUCUCAAUGGUUGGUUGAGUUGGACAACCUUAGAUAGUUGUAAAAAAGCUCUUAAGCUCAAGCCUCAAACCAUUGACAAUAAUUCUCUUUAUUCUAAAUUUAGAAAUUACAGUAGUAGAAUCUAACCCAGAAAUUUCAUGGCAUAGGGAUUUUAACUUGUUUAAGUACUCGUCAAUCGUCAUGUUUCAUUAUGAAAUUGAUAGUAGCUCAUUUUUCAAAAGUUGUAGCCAUAUGUUAUUCUUCUUUGAAAACUCAUUGUAGAAGUAUCCCAAUUUUUCUUAGGUAUUUUAACCUUUUUUAUGUGUUGUAGCAUUUCUUUUUCAAUUGUAGUCUUGAUGGCGAACAUGGCCUUCCAGCUAUAAUGCUUCACUUCUUUAAAGCGGCAUCCUCAGUUAGUGGUCUCAUAUUGUUACCACAAACAAUCUCCUAGAGAUCUUGACCCUGUAAGCAAGACUCCAUCAAUGUUGUCCACAUAUUGUAAUUUUCCUUGUCGAGCUUUUUAACUCUUCCAACUACUUGAAGGUCACCCGUCAUAUUUUCAAGACUUUAACAAUGCCAAGCAAGCUUGAUGUUCACUAACGAACUUGCAAAGUUCCAAACAAAGUACUCUAAUAAAGUACUCCACUUCAAAUUUGAACCCAACAGCCUUUUACUCAAUAGAUUUUGACAAGUUCAUUCAUUUAGAUUAAGAGAAAAGAAUUGAUGGUAUUGUGCCACAGGGAGGAAUCGGUUCCAAAGUCUUUUUUCCACGAUCCAAUCCCUAAGAUCAGGCAACAUAUCCUUCACCGAAAAAACAUAAUGAUCAUAUAUAAUGCCUAUUGGAAUAUGCCUCCACAUUAGCUUCGUUUUCGUUUUCAAUCUAUCAUGCAUUAGUAGCCAAAGAAAAGUACAAAUGCAUUGUGGACUGUGUCAUUGCCAAAUAUGGUAGUUUUCAGGUCUAAAAUUUUAAAGUGCGGGAAAGUCUGGGAACACUUUAAAACCAUGCGGUGGACUGUAAUAAAUAGAUAAUAUUUUUUCCAUUCAUUCCCAUGAAAAGUACAAAUGCUUUGUGGACUGUAAUCAUAAAUUAUGUAACUUCUCAGGGGUGUCUUCUGGCCAAGAUCAGAGGUGAGAGGUGUGAUAUCCACCCAGUUUAUAUGGAGGAGUUUGACAAAACUACAAUCCAAUGGAAUCACUUUACCACUUAUAAUAUGAAUGGAUCCCCUCAAAUUUUUUUUGCAUCAAAGAUGGUUGUAGCAACAAUGUCAAGGCGAAACCUUACUGCAUAUGUUGAGGUGAUGAGGAACCACAACCUCAAGGAUCCAUUUAGUGAACUCAAAUAAAGGGAGAAGCCUGCUUAGUAUUCUUUGAAUAUUUCAGUAAGCAUGCAUCUUCAAUUUCAGUUGGCAAUUUUUAUUUUAUAUAUGUUAAAUUACCACAAAACCAAAAUAUCAUCUCUAAAGUUGUUACCUUCCAUGAAUCGAAAAUGCUUUCAUGCUUGAUCAGAUUGUUUAAGUAUGCGUUCCUAAAAUAUACAAAAGUGCUCAGGAAAAUGGCACGGAAUAAUUAGUGUAUAAUAAAUUUUAUUUUUGGUAAUUUUUUAGAUGCAUAUGGUUUUAAAGUUCUCUUCAAAUAGCUGGACUUGCCAUAUACUAUAAUAUUGUUUAGUAAGGCAUUACUAUCAUAUCAUAUAUUUUGUUUAUCUAUCAUUAAUAUUUACAUUUUUAUUAUUUCAUUAAUCUUAUUUUAAUUUACUUUGUAUUCAUAGACAUAAUUUAAGAAUAUAAUAUUAUUGUUCUUAUGUUUCCGUUUUCGUAUAUAAAUUCCUGGAAGAUGCUCCAACAUCAAUUUUGUCGUUAUUGAAUAAACAAAAAAAAAAAAAAAGAUACAACAACUGAUGCUCUCAUUCACAAAGAACUAGAUAAUGUUCAGGCAUUAGAUGACUCCAGACAGCUGCAAGCUAUGAAAGAAGAAUAUGAUGUUUUGAUUAAGAAUAAUACAUGGACAUUAGUUCCAAGACAAGCUGUCAUCACGUUGCUGACAAUAAAUGGGUGUGAAGGAUCAAGUAUAACAAAGAUGGAAGUGUAGCUAAGUAUAAAUCCAAGCUUAUUGCAAAAGGAUUUUAGCAAGUGGCAGGGGUGAAUUACUUUAAAACAUUCAGUCAAGUGGUUAAAUUAGCUAUUAUUAGAGUGGUGUUGAGCCUAGGAGUGAUGAACUAAUGGAAAAUAAGACAAGUUAAUGUUAACAAUGCCUUUUUUAAUGGAGAGUUAAAUGAGGAGGUAUUCAUGUGUCAGCCGGAAAGGCUUUAUUAAUGUUGAGAAACUUGAAUUUGUGUGCAAAUUGUACAAAUGUCUAUAUAGACUCAAACAAGUUCCUAGAGCUUAAUUUGAUAAGCUAAAAAGUUGUUAAUUGCAUUAGGGUUUUAUUAAUACUAAUUUGGAUACCUCUCUUUUCAUAAGAAGAAACACUCAUUACAAGUCCAAGUACUAUAAAGUUAAAAAGUUUUAUAACUCAGUUUAGGAAAGCAUUUGCCUUAAAAGACUUAGGAAUAUUAUCUUAUUUCCUUGGAAUUAAAGUGUUGCAAGACGCACAUUGUGUAUAUUUAUCACAAAGAAAAUACAUAAGAGAUCUGUUGUCUAUAGUUGAAAUGGUUGAAUGCAAAGGCAUUGACACACUUAUGGUGUCAAUGCCUAUGUUGGCAUUGACACCCCAACAUAGGCAUUAAACCAACAUCAUAUAAAUUAGCAUUAAGUUCGAUCAAAUUCAUAUUGUCUUCAAUAAGAUUUGAAAGUAAGUGAAGUUUAACACACCAAUAGUUUUGGUGAUCUGUCUGAAACGUAAUAGACAACACCACUUAUUGGAUUUUAUUUCCUAAAAUACUUAUUGUUUAAUUUAUAAAAUAUAAACUCAUUUAUUAAAAUUAAAUAUCUUCUCAUAAAUAUAGAUAUAAAUUAUGAAAUGAUGUGGGUGUAAAUUAUUUAUUAAAACCUUAAUUUAUUUAAGUGUUUAAUUGAAAUCCCAUUUAAAAUUUUUUAAAAAUUAUUUAUUUAUAGUUAUUCAAGUAGUUUUAAUAGAAAAUGAAUUUUAUAAGAAAUUUUAAGGGAUGUCGAAAGGCUACUCUUGAAAUAAAUGACCCAAGUCCAUUUGGGCCCAUGUAUAAGGAACGAGGUCUCAGUUUAAAGGCCGGAUCGGGGUCGAGCCUCAACUCACGCUUACAUAAAAAGGAAUGAGAAAAAAUUAAAAAUAUAAAUGGAUUUCUCUAUGAUGCUGUAAUUUUUUUAUAGCAUCAAUAAUGUUUUAAUUGUGUACCAUUGGAUUAAAUCUAAUGGUAUACAAUAUUUGUACUAAAGAAAAAAAAUUAAAAAUAAUAGUAAACAGAUUGUUAACCGUUCAAGGGGUGGAUAAAUUUUGUAAAAUAAUUGUGAUCACCCUUAGAGUUUGAAGCAAUUUAACUUAAAUAGCAUAUUUUAUUUAAAAUUACUUUUCUACUCUCCUUUAAAUUUGUAUUGUGAUAAUCUUUUUUAAAAUAAAUCUUCCAAAAUCUAUUAUCAUUAAGUAUAAAAUAUAAUAUGAAGUAGGUUAUUUAACACAAAUCAAAUAAAUAAGUUGCAAUUGUAAAAUUAAUUAUAUAUAAUAUAACACUAGUAAAUAAUACAACUAAAUAAAUAUAUUUAAGUAAAUGUCAUAGGUACAUCAAUAAACUCACUGGUGAGAUUGCUUGUAAUCUAAAAAAGACUUAAUCACACAUAUUUUAAUAAAAUUUAAUAUCUUAUAUCAAAAUAUUCAUUAUUUUAUAUAAUUUUAAGGACCGUUGUAUAAUUGAUUAUGAAGUAUAUAUUAUUUUUAACACUUGUUUAACAUACCUAUUCUCUCAUCUUUUUGUUUAGGAUUUCUCUAUAAUAUUGUAUGAGUUUUUACAGCAUUGAUAAUAGGAUUGUUGUGGACUCUUAGAUGUUAGGGUUUUCAUGUUUAGUAUUCAUUUGAUAUAGUGAAUAAAAAAUUAGCUAUUUAAAUCAUAACAAGUAAUCUUCAUGCUGCAAGUAAAUAUAGAUUUUUUUAUUUUUAAUUAAUUGAUAAAAGAAAAUUUAUAUUAUGAUGGAUAAAAAUCCCAGAAUCAAUAAUGGGAUCAUUGGAUUUAAUAUUAGAAUCUUCACCCUUAAUUUAAUUUUAAUGGAUAAGUAAUUAUGUAACAAGUAAUAUGCAAGUUGUGAUAUUUCUUCAUAUUUUAAAUUAUUUUUUAUCUAAUCAAUCAAUAAAUAUUUUAAAUCAUUAAAAAAAGGAAAGAAAUACAAAUAAUUUUGGAAUUAAAAUUAUUAUAUAUUAAUCCUCUUACUUUACAAUUUUACAUUUUUAUUUUACUUUUACAUUUAGUAUUAGAAAUAUAUUUAAUAGCAUUAAAAUAAAUGUAAUUAACAAGUAAUGGUAUUUCAAUAAUACUUUAUAUAAAGUUAUUACAUAAAGUCUUAUAAUAAUUUGUAUUGUGUGAAUUUAAUUACAAACCAUUAAUACCUAAACAAUAAUGAUAAUAGAAGGCAUUGUAAUAAAAUAUUUUAUAUAUGUUUUAUUAGUAAUACUAUGAGUCACAACAAAUGAGAAAUAUUUUAUUCACCAAUGAAAAAAAAAUAUAUGGCUAUAUAAAUAUAUAGUGAGAAAUAUUUUGAUUUAAUUUUUUAACAAAAAAUUAAACUAUUAAUUUCAUGCAAUUCAAUGGUGGAGGAUAUGCCAAUAUGAAAUGCUGCUUUGAUAUGACAAUAUGAAAUGUUGCUUUGGCUUUUAAUAUUAACCAUUACACUAUAAGAAUAAGAUAUUAAUGGCUAAAAUAUUAUGUAAAAAUUUUAAGUUCAAGUAUCCCAAACCAUGUCUUUAUAAUGGAAAUAUAAAAACAUGCAAUGAAUUUUUUUCUCAUUUUGUCAUUAAAUAUUAUUGGAUGCAAUAUUUUAUUUAUUGUACUAUUACUUAUCAUAAUAAAAGUAAUGACUCUUAGUAACAUAAAAAUUUUAUAAUUACAAUCAAAGGAUGUCAAUAAAAUAAUCUUUCAUGAUUCAUAAACUAAAACUCAUUAGGAAUAUGUGUUAGAUUAAACUUUUAUGAAAUUAACAAAGUGACAUUUGAAAAUAAAAUGAAAAUAAGCUUGUGAAAGUUAAAUUUUAUAAAGCUUGAAUAAUUUUCUACCAUGUAAAUAAAAAUAUAAAAAUAAUCUUUCAUGAUUUUUUCCCUUUUUUCCACAUAAAUAUUAUUGGAGACAAUAUUUUAUUCAUUGUCACUAGUAAUUACCAUAAUAAAAGUAAUGGCUCUCAGUAACAUAAAAUUUUAUAAUUACAAUCAAAGGAUGUCAAUAAAAUAAUCUUUCAUGAUUCAUAAAAUAAAGUUAAUUAGGAAUAUAUAUUAGAUUUAACUUUUAUGAAAUUAACAAAGUGAUAUUUGAAAAUAAAAUGAAAAUAUAUAGGCUUGUAAAACUUAAAAUUUCUAUCAUGUAAGAAUAUUAAUUAUAAGAUAAACAAAAAUAAUAUAUAUUUUAUAAUCAAUUAUACAAUAGUCUUAGUAUUAUAUAAAAUAAUGAACAUUUUAAUUUGCGAUUUUAAAUUUUAUUAAAACAUGAGUGAUUAAGUAGUUUUUAAGUUACAAUCAAUCUCACCAAUUAGUUUAUUAAUGUAACUAUGACGUUUACUUAAGUAUAUGUACUUAGUUGUGUUAUUUAUUAGUAUUAUAUCAUAUAUAAAUUUUGUAAUUGCAAUUUAUUUAUUUGAUUUGUGUUAAAUAACAUACUUCAUAUUUAUUUUAUACUUAAUGGUAAUAGAUUUUGGAAGAUUUAUUUAGAAAAGAUUAUCACAAUACAAAUUUAAAGGAGAGUUGAAAAGUAAUUUUAAAUAAAAUAUGUUAUUUAAGUGAAAUUGCUUCAAACUCUAAGGGUGGUCAAUGUGAUUUUACAAAAAUUUCUCCACUCUUAAACCGUUAACAAACUGUUUACCAUUGUUUUUAUUAUUUUUUUUCUUUAGCAAAAAUAUUAUAUACCAUUAGAUUUAAUCCAAUGGUACACAAUUAAAACAUUAUUGAUGUUGUAAAAAAAAUUACAGCAUCAUAGAGGGACCUAAUAUAAAUACAUACAUAAAAUUAGUUAAAUCAUUAAUGCAUAUAUUAAAAUUAAAAAUCUGCUUACGUUUAUAGUCAAAAAUCGCUGAAGGUUCUUUGCAUGUUUUCGCUUGUGGGGCUGUGGUCAGAAACUGUGAGGGAGAAUUUCUGGGGGAUUUCUCAUGUCCAUUACAUGUUGAAACUGCUUUUGUUGCUGAACUGUUGGCUGUUAUCUUGGCGAUUGAGCAUACUUCUUUUGGAUGUUGGACUAUGCCGUGGAUCAAAUGUGAAUAUGCUUUAACUGUGCUUCAUCUUCGUAAAAAGCGGCUUCCGCCCAUGGUUUCUCAUUCAUCGAUGGAAUAAUUGUAUUGCUCUUAUGGAUUCCAUGACGUUGCACUUUUCUCGUGUCUUCAGGGAGGCUGAUGGGGUAGCUGGUUGUUUGAGCAAUUUAGGUGCCAUGGUGGAUUCCUUUACUUGGUGGGACUCUGCACCCCUCAUGUUGCUUCUCUUUUGCAUGAGGAUGCUUUUAGGCUGCCUAGCUAUCUGUUCAGCUAGCUUUUGUAAUUUUAGUUUGGCUGGUUUUCUUGCUAUAUUUUUAUUUUAUUUUAAUAAAACCUCCUCACUUUGGUGAGGAUUCAUCAAAAAACAAAAGGAAAAAAAGUUAGAACAACCUAGAUCAAGUAAAUUAUAUCGCAGGGAUUUUCGAAGAAAUUCAAGCAUUGGAAGGAUGAAAAACAAAUAUGUAGAUGAUCGAUCUCACCUUAUAUGGAAUUGCAGGCCAAGUUCAAGGAAGGAAUUUUUGAGAAAUUAUGUUCGAUAAAAUGCCCAAGAAGGAAUGCAUCCCACCUGAUGCGUUGAACAAUGAGACGAUACAUCUGUUGCUACAAUUUAUUCACAUAAGAAAUUCAAUUAAAGCAUUUGAAUGGGAAAAUUUUUUUUUCUCUUGUUGCCAGGAACCAAAACUGUUGCCACUUUACUGGUAUACUCCGGGUGUUUUCCGCUGUUUCAAUUUACUUGCUGGUAUUUUAUUUUCGUUUGCUGAAGUAUGAUUAUUUAACAGCCAGUUACUUAUUACAAUAAGAGGCUGUGGAGUCAAUUGCUUGCAUCAUGAGCAUCCCGGGAACUACGAUGUCUGCUUGAGCUUUAGAGGUGAAGACAAGACACCCGCACUGCAAGAACUUUUCAGAUCACCUCUAGUCCACUUUGAAUAAAAUUGGAAUUAAUGUAUUUAGUGAUGAAAAAGAACGUGAAAGGGGAAUAUCCAUUUCACCAGCACCGUCUAAAGUAAUUGAAGAAUCAAGAAUUUCAGUUAUUGUCUUCUUAAGAAACUGCGCUUCUUCAACUUGGUGCUUGGAUGAACUUGUUAAGACUAUUGAAUGGAAGAACACGUCAUGUUCGCCAACAAUUGGUUUUUCCAAUUUUCUAUGAUGUUGAACCAACAGUGGUAAGGAAACAUAUAGGAAGUUUUCAAGAAGCGAUUGCUAAUCAUGAAGAAGUUCUUAAAGGAGAAUAUAGAAAGGGUGCAAAAAUGGAGAGGCGCUCUGCAAGAGGUGGCUAAUAUCUUUGGCUAGGAAUUGAAAGAUAGGUAAUCAUUCUUAUUCUCAAUGAUUAAUUUUCUAAGAUGUGGAACAACUAAUUUUUGUUUGUUCUGCAUGAAUCAUAAUAAGUGAGAAGAUGUCUGGAUUUCUCCACUAUUAAAAAACUGCCAAUAUUUAUUCAGUAUAUUUAUUUACUAGUUUCAUGUUCAGUGUGUGCAUGCGCAUGUGUAUAUUUGUAUCAACAAUAAGAUUGCAACGACCAACUUGCCUACAAUUUUCCAAUAAACUUUACAUGACAAGAUUUUAUACUAUGUUGUUGGGUGAAUGAUGUGGUAGAGCAGAGGGAUUCUAGAACUUAUCAAGUUUUUAGGCAUUCGAACAGGGAGAGACAGUAGAAUAAAUGUAUAAGAAUUUGUUAAAAUCAUAGGAUUUAAUUGAAAUAAUAACUUGAUCAAUGAAUAUCUACAUACGAAGAGUUAUAGACGAAAUUAGAGAAGAGUUACAUGAAGAAUAACCUAGAGAUUAAUCAAACACAAGUUAUGACUUUAUCACUUCCGUUUUGUAUAUAUAUAUUAUGUAAUUUUUUGACACUACGUUACGCUCACACUAGCUUUAGCUCACCAACACAAAUAUUUUCUUGUUCUAUUCAACCCGCAUGAAUGAAUCAGACUUUAUUAUGGAGAUUUUCAAUGAGAUACCAAGCAAAAUUCCUUUAAAAUCAUAGACUCUUAAGGAGCUAGUAGGAAUGGAUUCACACUUGGAGAAGCUAACGAUUCUAAUGGAUAAAGGGCCUAAUGAUGUUCGUAUGAUAGGGAUCUGUGAUAUGGGAGGUAUAGGUAAGGCAGCUCUUGCAAAGGUUGUUUAUAACUUGAUCUAUCAUGAAUUUGAAGUAAGUAGUUUUCUUGCCAACGUUAGAUAAACCUCAGAAAAAGGAGGUCAGAUUUCCUAACAAAAUGGAAUUUAUAUAAUGUUAUCAACAUAAUUGGAAGUGGGUGCGACACAAAAAUGUUAGCUAGAAAGUUCAGGCAGCAGGAUCAUCAUAACAUCCAGAGAUAAACAUCGUUGACAACACAUAGAGUGGACGAAUUGUUGGUCCUUAAGCAACUAUACUAUGAUGAAGCUCUUGGACUCCUUUGUAUAAAAGCCAAUAAGCUAGGGAAAGGAUAUAAGUAACUGUCGAAAAGUGUUGUAAACCAAUAAGCUAAGUUGUAAGAACAUUAGCUGAACAACAGCAGCAAAUUGUGGAACGUAACAAAUGUACAUCACGUGUUGACAAAAAACACGGUAAGUGACAAAGUGCAAUGCAUGUGUUUUGAGUUCAUGAUUCUAAAACUCAAGAAAUGAAGUAUAAAAUUGCUAUCAUUAUAUAAUGCAAAGUAAAACAUAUUCUGUAAUGCAGCCUACAUUUUAUUCAUUUUUUUAUGAUACACGUACAAAAUGUUUUCCUUUGCCCAAGCUAUCAAUUGCACAAUGUAGGCUUUCAAGGAGAUCCUUUGGUCCACAUUUGGUUAAUUCAAUCUUUGAUCCGAAGGAAACGACUUUGUGCCCUGAGAAAGGUAAGUGACAAAAUGUUUUGCUCGACAUUCUAUGCUUUAAAUCUAUGCAUAAAUAAUUUUAUGGACAUCUUCACAUCUUAGUCUGCACUUAUCAUCUGCUUUUAUGAUUUUUAAGGAACUGAGUAGUCGAAUGCAUGGUAUGUGACUUUUCAGAACUUAAGGUUCAUUCUAUGGACAUCUUCACAUCCUUUUCAGAACUUAAGGUUAUUUUUUAUUAAAUCUCCAAAAACACUGGUACUUUCUGGUUGCUCAAAGUUGAAGAAAUUUCCAGAGAUUGUGGGAAAUAUGAAGUUUUUGCGGGAGCUUCUUUUGGAUGGAACUGAUAUUAAGGGACUACUAUUAUCAAUUGUACGUUUAUUUGGAAUUGUUCAGUUGAAUUUGAAAGGUUGUAAAAAUAUUUAGUGUCUUCCAAAUUUUAUAAGUGCUCUAAAAUUUCCUUCCACUUUGAAUUUCUCUGGCCUUUUGAAAUUCAGAUUGUUUCUAGAGAUCAUGGGACGUAUGGAACAUAUGUUGGCACUUCGAUUGUUGGGAACUGCUAUAAGAGGAUUGCCAAUGUCAAUUGAAUAUCUCUCUGGCAUUUUUUGCAAAAUUUAAAAGGUUGUAAAUAUCUCUUGAGUCUUCCAAUUACUAUAAGUAGAUUAAAAUGUUUAAGAACUCUAAUGCUCUCUGGUUGCUCGAAGCUGGAAAAUUUUUGGGGAAGUAUGAAAUCUCUAACUAUGCUAAUUUUAGAUGGAACUGCUAUUCGAGAAUUUCCAUUGUCAGUUGAAUAUCUAACUGGCCUUGUUGUGUUGAAUUUUAAAGAUUGGCAAAAUCUCGAAUGUCUUUCAAGUCCCAUCAGUGGUUUGAAAUAUCUUAAAAUUCUGAAUCUCUCUGGCUGCUCCAAACUUGAAAAUGUGCCAGAGAACUUGGGGAAAGUAGAUAGCUUGAAAGAGCUUGAUAAUAGUGGAACAACAAUUAGGCAACUUCCGACGUCUGUUUCUAUCUUGAAGAAUCUUAAAGCAGUGGACCACAAUCAUCUACAUCAUGGGAUUUGUGCUUCCCAACCAAUAUGAUGUGAAGGAGAUCAGAUCCUAUGACUAAUUUGAUGUUACCUUCUCUAUCAGGCUUAUGUUCUUUAACAAAAUGGGAUCUCAGAGACUGUAAUCUACCAGUGGAAGGAGGAGAAAUCCCAAGUGAUAUUUGCCACAUAUGCCUAUUGCUCAAAAUGAACCAAAAUCUAAUUCCCAUACCAGAUGCAAUGUUGGCUGAAUAAUAAAUGAUAGUAUGAACUGUUGUUUCUUUGCAUACGAUCUCUCGGUUACUCCUAGAGGACUCGUGUACGACGUCCGGCUCAAGUCGUCUAAACUUAGUAAGUGAGUGCACGCGUUGGUCACGUGCACUCACUUAUACACAAUGAUCAAACGACCCGAAAAUACUGUCGUUUUUAAGAGCAUUAGUGUCAGUAUGUAGCUGUUAAAUCGGUUAGAAAGGGCGGGAAAUUAUUACAAACCCAUAACAAGCUGAUGACCGAUGACGUAUAUUGUAUGAUGUCCAUUCCGUAGCUUGCAAUUUUCUCUCUAAGUUUGUAAGUUGUUCUGAGAAAACAAAUAAAGCUUGCCAAAGAAGGCAUAGGCCACUGUAGCUAAACAUCUCUAGAUAUUGUGUUUAUGUUUUGAUUUUUUUUUUUCUGUUUGAGCGAAGCCGUACUGAUGAUGAAGAACCUCAAGCUACAAGGAUUUAGGAAAUCUAAUAAAGAGUAAAGCCUUUUUAUACUCAUGCUUUGUAUUAUGUUCAUGUUUCACUAUUACCUAAUUGAAAUUGCAUUCCAACUUGGAUUUUCAAUUUCUUGACAAACUAUAUAUUCAUUUGAAUUAUGUAAUAUAAAGAUUUUCGUAUCACUAGUUUGUGCUUAUUGGUUAAAAUUCUUUCAUUCUAAUAUAUCAAUUAUAAUAGGCAAAAUGACGUCUACACCCCCUAAAUUUUAGGAAAUGAUCACCAAUACCCUCAAAUUUUUUGAAAAAGACACCAAAACCCUUUAAAAAAUUAAAUUUGAAAUUUUUAAUAAAUAAAAAUAUUAUAUAAAUAAUGUAAUCUAUGCAAUAGACUAAGAAUAUUAAAAUUAUUUAAUAUUUUAAUAAAUUUAAAUAUGUAAAUUGUUAUAUUUAUUUAAUAAUAUAUUUUUAUUUAUUUUAGAUAUUUUAAAUAAAUAUUUGCAUUAAAUAUAUUUUACAAUAAAAAAAAAUAUCACAUGCUAAUGUUAUUAUUAUUUUACAUAAUAUUGAAAAUAAUUUAAAUUUUAAUACACUUUUUUUAACAUUAUGAUUCUAUUUAUUAUAAAAUUUAAAUAUAUAUACUAAAAUAUAUCUAAUAGAUUGUAAAAUAUUAAAAUAUUUUUGAAGUAUUGAAAUUAUUUUACAAUGUAUACAUUAUUACACUUAUUUUAAUGUUAUAUUUCUAUUUAUUAUAAAACGUUAGUGUUGAUUCUUUUUGGGAUAAUAGAGGUUAAAGGGUACUAUCGCUAAAAGAAGGUCUUGGUGUUCCAUUUUGAAAAUUUGAGGGUGUUGGUGAUUAUUUUCUUAAACUUUGGGGGUGUAGAUGUCAUUUUCCCAUUAUAAUAUCUUUUUUUGGCUAUUAUACCUUUUAAUUUUAGUAAUAUUAAAAUUGAUUUUAAAUUUUAAAAUAAAUACAAAUAUAAUAUAAGAAUAAAUAAACAAAAAAAAGUAAUUUUUAUUUUGGAAUUCCAAAUAUCUUGUUUUCAACAUAAGAAGUAUAGUAUCUCAACUAGAUCCUAAAAUAAAAAUUACAGAGAGGAAAUCAGAUUGCUAUUAUUAGACUAUAUAGGGUGCGUUUGAGAUUGAGGUUGAGCAGCUGUAGCUUUUAAGCUAUGUUGAUAUGAUUUUUCACUUGUAUAAUAUAAAAUUUAUUAUAUCUUUAAUAAUUUUAUCAAAAUUAUUAUUUAAAAUUUAUAUUUACUAUAUAUUAUUAACUUUUGUUUCAUAAUUACAUCUUUUUUUUCACAGCAGCUAUAGCUUAAAAGCUACAGCACCUCAAUCCCAAACGCACCCAUAAUAAUAAAAAUUAAUUUUUAUUUUGGAUUUAUUUAAAAGUAAUUGAUCACAAAAUAAAAAAAAAUUAAAACAAUUGACCCAGGGCCAGCUUCGUUCGUCCUUUUAUAGAGAAUUGCAGGUAAAAAUCAUGCCCAGAACACGUUUGAUAAAAUACCCAAUUGGAGGAAUGCAUCCACCGGGUAUGUUGAAGAGCAACGACAUGAUGUAUCUGUUGCUGUAACUUUGUGAUUUCCUAAGCAAUCAGAAUCAAACAGUCAACAACUUUAUGAUUUCCCAGUUAAUCAACAAAGUCAAUUAUGCUGCCACUUUAUGAUUUCCCAGUUAAUCAACAAAGUCAAUUAUGCUGCAACUUUAUGAUACAUCUAUUGCCACAAUUUUUUUUCACGUAGAAAAUUCAAUAAAAUUAAUUUAAUAAUGUACAGGCUCAAACUUGUUGCCGCUUUGCUUGUAGUGCGGGUUUUGGGCUCCUUCAAAUUGCUGGUUGAUUAUGAUUAUUUGGGAGCCAAGCUUUUAAGUCCAAAUAAAUUUUUUAGGAACUUAAACAAGAGGCUUUGGAAUCAAUUUCUUGCAACAUGAGCAUCCUGCAGGGAGUUCCUCCAUAAAACAUUUGUAUGUUGGUUUGGAUCAAAAGGGAGUCGCUGUAUUUAGGGACGACGAAGAACUCGAGAGAGGAAAAGUAAUUUCACCAGGACUACUUACAGUAAUUGAAGAAUCAAGAAUUUUAAUAACUGUUUUCUCAAGAAACUAUGCGUCUUCCACUUUGUGCUUGAAGAACCAAGAAUUUCAAUAAUAUCUUUUAUAAAUAUCAAAGUGAGGAAACAACUAAAUCAUCUUAAAAAGAAAGAAAUCAUAAUUUAUACUUAUUAAAAACAAUUAGAUCAAAUCUCUUCAUUGGCAGCUAACAACAUCAAUUCCAUAUUCAAGUCAGCAAGUUUGGAAAGGUCCAUCCGUUGCUUGGAUUGCUGAAUCGCUCUUUUGGAUAAAUUUUCCGUGCUUUUAAUGAAAGAAAAUUAGAAAAGAAAAUUAUAGAGAUUGAACAAUUAGCAACAUACAAAAAGUUAAAAUUACUAACAAAUGAGCAAUUAUACUUUUCCAGCAAGUGAUUUGUGGUUAGCACUUUAAGCAGCAGCUACAAUCACAAAUAAAAACACAGUUUUUCUAAUCACUCAAUCCGUCAAUAUUAGAGGAGAUUCUGUUCUCUUCUUUGCUGAUUUUGAUUAUAUAUGUACAGUUUUUUUGGUACUUGUUGAGUUGUAACUCAAUGUAAGUACGUCGGUCAUUUUAAUCGGUUUUGUUGGCUUUCUCUCUUCCACAGUACUUUUUCUCUGAAAAAGUAUAGGAAUGAAAGAUGACUUAAGCCCCCGUGGCUUUCUCAAUCACCCACUAGUUGGGUGUUCUCUACAAUAUUAUUUAUGCAACAAAUUUAAUUUCGGUGGUUAGAAAUUUGGUGAGAAGUCUUAUUCAUAGAAUCACAGCAUCUAAUGGAUGCUGAGGAAUUAUUACGCAAGUGUCAGGUGAGUGUUUCAAAAGAAGAGGAGGCAGACAUGGUAACAUUCAUGGGGCGGAUGAAGAUAAAGGGAGAGGAGGUAGCUGCAAAUUGUGUAGUAGGCAAAGUGCUAACAUCAAGAAGUAUAAACAAGGAGGGCUUGAAAGCUGCAAUGCAAAUGGCUUGGAGAACUGUCAAAGAGGUUAAAAUAGAAAGUAUGGGGGAUAAUAUUUUCCUGUUCAAGUUCGCCUCUGAAGAAGAAAAGAAAAGGGUGCUCAUGGGAGGGUCGUGGCAUUUCGACAGAGCAUUGAUAGUUUUGACCGAACCAACAGGGAUUGGAGAUAUCAAAAAUCAAUCUUUUACACAUGCCACAUUUUGGGUUCAGCUUCAUAACAUACCAAUAAUGUGUAGAAACAAGGAGGCCAUCCAACAGCUGGGAGAAAAAAUUGGUACAGUCAAGGAAGUGGAGACAGACGAAGUUGGGGAAUGUAUUGGGCAGUUUGCUAGAGCCAGGAUAUCCAUUGAUAUUUCACAGCCUCUAAAAAAGAUUGUAUUCCUACAACAAGCGGAUGGCAAAACUCCAAUGCCAAUUUUGUAUGAAAACUUCCGGAUUUUUGCUUUUGUUGUGCGCAUAUCGGUCACCAGUACAGGGAAUGCUUGAGAUACAAAGGACAACAAAAGGAGGACUUGCCUUAUGGUGGUUGGAUGCGAGCUGUUACACAAGCUGACAGGAUAAAGCAAAAACGUAGUAGGUAGAAAGGCAAUCGAGAGCAAUCCAAUCCCAAAGAAAAUGUGCAAGCAACAACCAAUCCAAGCUCAAACAACCCGAUUGAUCAAGACAGGUCAAAAUUGAACAAUUCGGAUCGGGAAAUCAGAGAUGGAGCAGAACCAGAGGAUACAAGAAACCUGCUGAUAUCUGACAAAGCACAUUUAAUGUUGACCUCUUCAGAGACGAAAAAUCAGCAAGUGGGGAGUCAGAGUAUGGGCUGUGACAUCGACGAGGUGCAGAAUAGGGUGGCAAGUAAUGAUAGCCACUAUAGCUAUGAAAGUACAAAGGCAGGAGAAAAGAUUUUGAAGGAGAACGAAAAUCCUGUGGAUAAAACAGGAUUGGAAAUAAUAAAAGAUAAAAGGAAGCAGAUUGAAGAGAGUGCCAGAUCUGAUGUGGAAGAAAUGGAUAGUGGGCCAAGCAAGACCAACGCGAAGCCCAAAGCGAGAAAAUGGAAACUUAAGGCAAGAAUUCCAAUAGCAAAAGGAGCGAAGAAUUAUGGGUUAAUAGGAGCAAAAAGACCUAGCAGUGAUGACCAUCAGCUCAGCCCACAACACAAAAAAAUAAGAGUGCUCAGUCCACCAAAACAAUCACACGUGGGAAACCACACAAGCUUAGCAAUAAACUCAGACUACAGCAACCACAUUAGCUCAAACAGAACAGCCCGGCAGCUACAAAUAACAGAAGAGAUAUCAGAUGAAGGGGAAUAUGUGGCAGCUAUGGAAGAAGAAGUAUCGGCGGGUGUUGAAUUUCAAGCCCGCCGACAACCAUGAAACUCUUAAGUUGGAACGUUCGAGGUCUGGGGAAGCCUCGAACGCGCUUAGCUUUCAAAAAAAUUCUCCACCUGCACCGGCCUCAAAUUUUCUUCUGUUGUGAAACCAAGAUGUUGGCUAGGCAGGUUGAAUCGAUUUGUAGAGAUUUUAACUUCGAGAAUUGUUUUGCAGUAGAUAGAACGGGCAUGGGGGGAGGUCUAGCUUUGUUUUGGAGUGCAAAUGUUAAUGUUCGCAUUACCUCAUACAGCCCACAUCAUAUAGAUGCAAUAGUGAGUAGUGAAAGUGGUUUGAGGUGGAGAUGCACCGGGAUCUACGGCCAUCCUGAGUUCAGCCAGAAGCAUAAUACUUGGACUCUCAUGAAAAGGUUAGCCAGCCUAUUUUCCUAUCCUUGGUGCUGUUUUGGUGAUUUCAAUGAGAUAAUGCAUAUGCAUGAGAAAACCAGGGGCAAUGAGAGAAACCUGAAUAGGGUUGCCGAGUUUAGGGAAGCUGUGCAAAGCUGCAAUUUGCAGGAUAUGGGGUGUAAGGGAUAUCCCUAUACGUGGUCAAACAAAAGAUACGGAGAUCAUUUCAUUGAGGAGAGAUUGGACCGAUUUCUGUGUAGUAAAGAUUGGGGGAUUAAUUUCCAAGAAUCUGUAGGCACAGAUCUAGUGAACUGGUCUUCGGACCACUGCCCAAUUAUUCUAGAAUUCUAUGAGCGAAGCAUAAAAUUGAGAAAUGCGGGCAAAUCAUUCCCCCGAGAUUAUUAUGAGGAUAUGUGGAGCUCCCACGAAGGCUGUAAGAGUAUAGUCCAGGAAGAGUGGAGUCGGUAUGGGGCUAGAGCUUGGGAAUCCCCUGUUCAGCAAUUUCAGCGAAUAGCCAAAUCUUCCUUGGCCCAGCUAAAACUUUGGAGCAAAACCGAAUUUAAUGGUAGGCAAAGAAAGCAAGAAAAGCUGAUACAGAGCCUCCAGGAUGCUAUGAGAGGGAAUUCAAAGCUGGAUGAUGGCCAGGAAAUUAGGAGAUUGGAAAGUCAGAUUAACUCUAUGCUAGUUGAUGAGGAGAUUUACUGGAAACAGAGUUCGAGGGCUGACUGGCUUAGAGAAGGGGAUAAGAACACGAAGUAUUUUCACGCCAAAGCAUCUGCCCGCAAAAGGAAGAACAAGGUGUGGGGGAUUGAAAACGACCAAGGCAUUUGGUUGAAGGAAAGGGAUGAAAUAGAGGAGGAGAUUUGCAGCCAUUUCCAAGAGCUAUUCACUACUUCCGGCCCGACUCCAAGCCAAAUCCAAGCAACCCUUUAAGGCAUGCCUGCUAAAGUAACUCCGGAGAUGAAUGUUCAGCUGGAGACGCUGUUCACCGCUGAAGACGUUGAGGAAGCCCUUGCCAACAUGUGUUCCACAAAGGCCCCAGGGCCUGAUGGUCUUCCAGCUGCCUUCUUCCAGAAGCAUUGGAAAUCUGUCCGUAUCGGAGUGAUCUCAACGUGCCUUAAUGUCCUUAAUGAGCAAGGUAACCCAUCUACCCUCAAUCACACUUUCAUUGCUUUGAUUCCAAAAAUUGCAAAUCCUAGGAAAGUGAGUGAUUAUAGACCUAUCAGCCUCUGUAAUGUUAUUUAUAGAGUUGUAGCUAAGGCCAUUGCAAAUAGAAUGAAGCCGAUCCUUUCCCAAAUCAUCUCCCCUAUGCAAAGUGCAUUCAUCCCCAAUAGGCUCAUUACCGACAAUGUUAUUAUUGGUUAUGAAUGCCUUCAUAAAAUAAGGCAUAGCAAAGGGAAGAAGAACGGACUUGUGGCUUUAAAAUUGGACAUAAGUAAGGCUUAUGAUAGAGUUGAGUAGCCUUUUUUGGAACAAACUAUGCUAAAGAUGGGGUUUCCUAGUAAUUGGGUAGCUUUGAUAAUGAGAUGUGUUACUUCCACUUCAUUCUCGGUGCUUAUUAAUGGUGUGCCAAAAGGAAUGAUCCAGCCGGAAAGAGGCUUGCGACAGGGCUGCCCGCUAUCCCCGUACCUUUUUAUCCUUUGUGCAGAGGCUCUCUCCAAUUUGUUGGUUUUGACAGAACAGAACCAGCUAAUCCGAGGUCUCAAAUUUGCGCGGGAAGUUUCAAUUACUCACUUGCUGUUUGCGGACAACAGCUUGGUUUUCUCUCGUGCAUCAGUGGCUGAAUGCAGGCAUUUAAAAGAAAUUUUUGAUAAAUAUGCUGCAGCAUCAGGGCAGAUUUUUAAUUUCUAGAAAUCCUCAUUAUUUUUCAGUGGGAAAAUUCCAGAGCAUCAAAGGGCUGCUAUAAGGGGUAUAUUUAAUCUAAAUGUGGUCUCAAAGGACGAGAAAUAUCUCGGUCUUCCAUCAAUGCUUGGGAGAAAGAAGAUGGGGUUCUUUAAUGACAUCAAACUAAAAGUGUUGAACAAGAUUGCAGGAUGGCAGCAUAAAAUAUUGUCUAGUGGGGGGAAGGAAGUUCUGAUCAAAGCGGCUGCCCAAGCAAUUCCAGCAUAUGCAAUGAGUGUUUUCAAGCUCCCAAGAGGCUUUUGUGAUGAUAUUCAGCGAGCUAUAGCGAAGUUCUGGUGGGGCUCGAAAGGGGAUAAGCGUGGAAUCCAUUGGCGGAAAUGGGAGAAGCUCAGCCAGGCAAAGAUUAGAGGGGGGUUGGGAUUUCGAGAGUUUACUUGCUUCAAUCAAGCAUUGGUAGCUAAGCAAGCAUGGAGGUUACUGCAGUACCCAAAUUCGCUAGUCUCAAGAGUCCUUCAAGCAAGAUAUUUAAGGAAUUCCAGCUUUUUAUGUGCGAAGGCAGGAGCCAAUGCCUCGUAUAUUUGGAGAAGCAUCAUGUGGGGUAGGCAGGUGAUUAAGAAGGGUAUGAGAUGGCAGAUAGGUAAUAGCAAGAAGAUAGCAAUCUUCUUGGAUAACUGGCUGCCAAGACCAGAGACCUUUAGACCUAUCUUCCCUCCAUCAUUGCCUGUAAGCUCAGUUGUUGCAGACUUAAUUAAGGCUGAUAAUCAAUGGGAUGAAAUAAAGCUUCGACAACACUUCAUGGAUGCAGACACAGCAAAGAUCCUCAAGAUUUCCCUCCCAGCUGAGAAAGCAGAAGAUGAAGUGCUUUGGCAUUACGACAAAAGAGGGAACUACUCUGUCAAGAGUGGGUACCAGCUAGCCUUGAGAUCAAAAUUUCCAGAUUCCACCAGCUGCACAUAGGCUUCCAUCAAGUAUUGGAGUGCCCUUUGGACAUUGGAGCUGCCUGAGAAGCUUAAAAUUUUCAUGUGGAGGGCUUCAAAUAAUCUGCUUCCAUCAGCGGAAAAUCUGUGGAAAAGGAAGGUAGUGGAGGAGCCAACUUGUAAGCGAUGCAAAAUAAGUGUUGAGACUAUCAGCCAUGCUCUCUUGGAGUGCAAGGCAGCGAGAAAGAUUUGGCUCCAAUCCCCCUUUUCAGCCCCUAGCUUAGAAGCUAAUUCUCAGGAGAUUUUCAGCACUCUGCAAAAUAUGGCUAAGGAGCUGAGGAAAUCAGAUCUGGAAUUAAUGGUAGCUCUAUGUUGGUCUGCCUGGUAUGCUAGGAACAAAUGUAUCUUCGAUGGCAGGGAGAUUAAUCCUCUUAUCUCAGCUGCUAAAGCGGAGUCAGUAUUGACAGCAUUUCAGAGAGCUAGGAAGCCCCAGCAAGCUCACAUCUCUAUCUUCAGAAAAGCGAAGCAGCAGGAGUGGCUCCCCCCCCCCUCCCCCGGAGAAUUUUUUAAAGUUAACGUGGAUGCUGCUAUUACUUCAAAGAAUCUGAGUGCAGGAGUGGGAGCUGUGAUUAGAGACUCUAAUGGAAAAAUAGUUGCGGCUGGGGUAAAUCAGAACCUCCUAAAGGGGUUAGUUAGCUUGGCUGAAGCAGAGGCGGUGCUUUGGGGCCUUCAGCUGGCAAGAAGUGCGGAUGUAUCCUCUUUGAUUAUUGAGUCUGAUUGUUUAGAGGUGGUCCAGCUAGUGAACAACACCAAGGGCAGCAGAUCAGAUAUUUUUUGGACAAUUCUGGCAAUCUAAAACCAGAUGAAGAACUUCCAGAAUGUUGUUGUCAAUCACAUUCCAAGACAUUGUAAUGCUUGUGCCCAUUACCUAGCUAAGAUAGCUUUGGGGAAAAUCUCUCCCUGUAUGUGGCUGGGAAAUAUUCAGCUGAAUUGUAUGGUAUUCUCAAGGUGUUGUGAUUAAUGAAAGGCUUACUUUCUUUUCAAAAAAAAAAAACUCAAUGUAAGUACACAUUUUUUUCCCCAACAACACAAAAAAACAAUUGCUUCUUCAACUUCUUCUGUUAUCCAUAUGCUAAAAAAAAAAAAAUAAGAACAUUGAAGAAAGAAGGCAUUUAUAUUGUCAUUAAAAGGAGGUUUUCCACUUGUGAUUUCCUUCCAGCCAUUAACGUAAUCCGACAUUCGAUCAUUCCAUUGCAUGACUCGUGAAGAACGGUAGGCUCUUGAAUGCUUUUAUUUUCUUUCAAUUUAAGAGGCAUUUACUUAUAAAAAUCCUAUGCUUUUCCUUAAAACAAAUAUAUUUUCCUAAUUAACUAAAGUUCUCUUAAAGCAAAGUACUUCAUUGGAAUUCAUCUACUUACAAAAAUCCUCUCUAUUUAAGAUUUGCUCAGGUACACUCUCCCAUCAGAUUUAGAAAGUCAAAUUUUCUGAUAUAUUUUAAAAUUUGCAGUAUGAUAUUUUAUUUUCUUUAAAGAAAGGAUAACAUAAAAUUGUGUAAGAUCAAUUAAAGUAGAAAUUUGAUUCAUGCGUAACUAUAACUUAAGUGAUCACAUAAUAGUUGACUUCUUUUUACAAUUUCGACAUGCUUAUUUCAUUUUUUGUGUAGUUUUUAUUUUGUUUUAUUUUAUUUUUACUAUUAUACUCUUGACUAUAGUAAGCCGAAAGUUGAUAUUAUAUUUUAAAAUAAAUAUAAAUAUAUUAUAUUAUUAAAUAAAUAAACUAAAUAUAUUAUAUUUUAAAAAUAAAAAUAAAUUUAUUAUUAAUAUAAAUAAUAUAAAAUUAUUAUUCUUGAUUAUUUUAUUUUUACUAUUCCCUGACUUUAUCACCGAGCGCGCAUCUCAAAUUCAAAUGUUAUUUUGCACAUGAUAAUUCAUUUACAUUCCAUUUAUUCAAAAAUCUGUUAUAAAUCAGUUAAGGGUUAGUGACGUGGCAUUGGUGUCCAUGUUUGUUAACCGUGGUUAGCACUUCAGCAGCAGCUACAAAAUAAACACAGGGUCUGAUUUAUUGUCAAUCUUUAAUGUGUCCGUUUGUCGGGUAGAGCGACGAGUUAAGAGAGUGUUUAUUGAGCUCACGCUCUUCCUUGUCAUUUCCUCUGUGAAUUUUUAUGGGUUUAAAUACUUGAACCUCGGAAUUGAGGCUACAAUGUUUAGUGCACAUAUGUUGAAUAUGAAUAUGAUCGAUCUCAGCUUGAUUUGGGCCCAGAACAAACGAUAAAUAGACAAAGGAAUGAUUAUAUGGAAUUCGCAGGCCAGGUUCAAGAGAGGAGUUGUUGAGGAAUUAUGGUAUAAUUCUCGUGCCUAGGACGUGUUCGAUAAUAUGCCUACGAAGGAAUGUGCAUCCCACCUGAUGUGUUGCAUCAACUCUAUGGUUUCCCACGCAAAAGCAAUCAAUCAACAAGGUCAAUUCGUGAAGGUUUGUCCUGCGUGAGUCAUAGCUAGUGAGCAGAUUCUGAGAGUCUUUAGUCUUUAACAGAAUUUUACCACAAACACAGUGCAAACCCAGUGUUUAUCUAAUCAAUUAUUUUCUUUUUCUAGCGGCUAACCUUUUUGCAAAUUUCUAAAUAGAAAUAUACAUGACAGAAUUUUCAUUAUUUGUUGUUUCAUGAAUGAUGUGGUAGAAUGAAGGAAUUGUAGAAUUUCUUGAGUUUUAGACAUAAAACAGAGUCAGGCCAUGGAAUGAAUGAAAAAAAUAUCAUCACAUUUGUUGGAAUGAUGCUGUGCUUUAUUCAAAAUUAUUUCUUCCACUAGAGAAGCAAUCAAUAAUAGUGUUAAUUCUUGAACCUGUGAAAAGCAAUUAAUUUUCUCCAUUUGUUUACUAGCAAUCUUCCAUAACCAUUGUGCUUGGCUGUGAAAUAGCCUAUUUGUGGCUGAACAUAGAAUCUGUUUUUUGUUUCUUUGUUGCUUUUUGUGAUCUUUGGCUUAAUUUACAAUUCAUGGCAUGUCUGAAAAUGGGUCGAUGAAUAUGUUAAAUAUGGACUCAGAUCUAGAUCAGAUUUAUCCAUGAAACAAUCAAGAGGAUUCAACAUUUGAUUUUUGUUUUUCUUUUCUCCACCCCCAUGUUUAAUUUUGGUCGGAGGACUUGGUUGAUAGGAAUUGACAACAAUUGAUUUUCCUUUUUUUCGUUAAACAAGAGACCACAAUGUCAAUUUGAAGACUUUGUUGAUAAGAAUUGACAACUGUUGGUUCUUAUUAUUUGUUUUUGUUUAAUAGAAGAUGCCUUGGAAUUCCGCAUCGUUGACAUGUAGUUGAUAUUUAAAACAUUUUGAUGUUAGAGCUUAGAAUGUUUGCUGUUGGAAUUCUUAUUAAGAAAAUUACUAUGCUGCUUGCAACAUAAUCAAAGUUGUAAGUUUUAUGCCCUGCAGUUCUCUUUAUUUUCAAUUAUGUUUUUGAAUUUUCAGAAUAAAUAUGAAGAAAAAGAUCAUUAAUUUCCAAAGCAGAGAAGAAAAUAUUUUCAGAAUUAUACUACAAUGACUAUAGGGAGAUCCUGAAAAUGAGAUUCUUGAUGUUCAUCAAAUAAGUUUUGAUGGGUCAAAAGAAACAGAGAAGAAAAUAUUUCUCGAUCUUGCAUGUUUCUAUGAAGGGAAGCACAGAGAUUAUGUGAAAACAAUUCUCAAAUAUUGUGAUUUUGACCCAAUUAUCGAAAUUGUUGGUCCUAUUGACAAAUCUCUAUUAACUGUAGAUGAUUUCGGCGGACUGUGGAUGCAUGAGUAGUUACAAGAAAUAGGGUAGACAAAUUGUUAGGAGGCAAUCCCAUCAGGAGCCUGGAAACUGCAAUAGAUUGUGGGAAAAAGCCGAUAUAUGCCAUGUAUUAUCACAAAGCACAAGUAGAGAUGGCAAAACCCCGGGCCGGGUCCGGGUAUUGCCAUGACCGGACCCUGCCCGGAUGCAACCGGUCCGGGUCCGGGUCUGGGCCGGGUUUUAUCCGGGUACCCGAAUUUUAUGUUUUUUAAUAUUUUAUGUGUAUAUAUUUUUAAUUUUUUGGUAAUUUUAUAAGUUUUAAAUUUAUUUUAAUAAAAUUUGACAUGAAAAUAUAAACUUUAAGUGUUUAAAACUUUAUAUAUGUAUAAUAAAUGAUUCAAAUAAAUAUAAAAUAUUUAAAAUAAUAUAUAUUUUAUAAUUUUUUUUAAUAAAAUCCGGGUUCCGGGUUUAUCAAGUGAUGCCCAAGACCGACCCGGCUUCAUACCCGGGCCGGGUAUUACCCGGCCCGCAACGCCCGGGUACGGUCCGGGUCCGGACCGGGCGGGUAUUUUUGCCAUCUCUAAGCACAAGUAAAUGUUCAGUUAGGUUGAAAACUUGCAAUUUUGGGAUCAUGAUCACUUAUUUAACUAGUUAAACCUUUGCAUAGUUUUAUCAAUAUUUUCUUUCUUUCAUUUUUUUUUUUUUGGUUCCCACUUAUUUUUUGUUAUAAUGUUUAGGAAACUGAUGUAGUUGAAGCAUCAUAUUUGAUUAACAACAAUGAGAUGCAUGUCAGUGCUAAAGCCUUUUCUAAUAUGACCAAUCAGACUUCACAAGAGUACCAAAUUUAGGGGAGCUGAUUUCUGAAAGAUUUACAAGGUUGCAGGAGAUUCACUCAUUUUUUCUGCUUCAAAGAAGCUGAUUCUGUUGAAUUUGAAAGGUUGUACAAGUCUUUCAACUCUUCCAGGCAAGAUCUUUAUGAAAUCUGAUUAAGACACUUGUUCUUUCUGGUUGCUUGAAGUUGAAGAAAUUUCCAGACAUUGUGCAAGUUCUUCCGGAUGGAACUGAUAUUAGAGAACUGUCAUUAGCAAUUGAACUUCUAUUUGGACUUGUUUAGUUGACUCUGAAUGGCUGCAAAAAUCUUGAGCAUCUUCCAAGGACCGUAAGAGCUCUGAAAUAUCUAUCAACUUUGAAUCUUUCCGGCCUUUUGAAAUUCAGAUAGUUUCCACAGAUAACUUCAAGCAGGGAUCAGCUCUUGGAGAUUCAUUUGGAAGGAACUGCUAUAAGAGGAUUGCCAGCAUCUAUUGAACUUCUUUCUGGCAAUGUUUUGUCGAAUUUGAAAGAUUGCAAGAAUCUCAAGAGUCUUCCAUGUAUGAUAAAUGGUUUGAGAUCUCUUAAAUUGUUGUAUCCCUCUGGUUGCUCCAAACUUAAAAAUGUGACAGAGACCUUGGGGAAAGUUGAAAUCUUGGAAGUAAGAUUGUCUUGUUAGAAUCAGGCGAAAAUGCAGAAUGACUUCAACUGUGUGGAACAGAGUGCAGUGGAGACAGUAACAAAGUUAGCAAAAGCAGAAUCGCUAAGGUACUUUACAAAAUUAAUAAUUUCCUUUAUAACAUGCAGUACCGUAUUACUUCUAUGUGCAUUGCUAUCAAUAUCUUCGACCGAAAGAUUCAGAUUCAUGGAAGAAGAAUGUUGAUAAGGGCAUCAAGCUAUCUACAACAGCAAUAUCAGCUUGCUCACUUGCCUGCCAUAGGCUGAUUCAAACCUCAAGAGCCAUGCCGAAGAGUUGAAUCAAAUAACAGCAAAUUCACAUCUUAGGUGGCCUUUUCUUCCAGCUUAGUCACUGCAUCAUUUUUUUUAUAGCAGGUUCGUUCUAUAAUAAUCUCAUAGGCACAUAUCAUGAACUUUGUUUUAUCAUGCUUGCAUACUUUGUUUACUUCUGCACAGUGAUAUACACAUUCACUAUCUCUAUUUUGCAUGACUACUAUAAAUUUAAGUAGAAAUUGAUUUUGGAAUAUGCUCUUAUCCUUUAUUAAUCAUAUAAAAAGUUCAUACGUGAGGGUAUACUAUUUACAGCUGUCUUGCGGAUGGAUUUAUAACCUUACUAAGUAAUAUUAUCAACAAUUUUUGGAUUUGCUGAUUUUAGAGCCUGGUCUUAGAAUCCAUAAUGCAUUGACAAAUACAGAAAUGAUCAAAUUGCUAGCCUCAGUAGUUGCUAUUUAUGUUAUUAUUGAAAGAUGAUUCAAAUUCUUUAUGUAUGUUAGUUUUUGUUUGGGCGGGAAAUUUAAGUUUUAUCUUAGUUGACUCUAUUGACCACCGCUUGUAUCAAAAAAAUCUGAAUACUGGUCGUACGAGUACUAUAUAGCAGACCCGAGGGCAUGCGAGGAGAGACCAAAAUCGAGUCAGAUCGAAGGCUUGAUCAAAGGCCAACACGUAGUUUGUCUCCAAGAAACUCGGGCACAAAGCCCAUUCAGCGGCAGUUACAUUGUCCAUUGACCCAUGAUUUCAAAGACGCAGCACGCACCUUUUCACUUCCAAGCCAACAGUAAUCGUGGGGAAGAUGGAGUCGAUGGUUCAGGUUGGGUAUAAAAGCUACGGAGAAUGGAGGUAAAAAGGGCUGGACAAAUUUUUUUUUUUAAUUUCCAUAUUUUCUCUCUCUUUGACUUUUUCUCUCUCGAUAAUUCUCUCUAUUUAUUUUUCUUCGUUUUGAGAAUUAAGAUUUCUAACUUUCAAUUGAUAUAAUUAAGUAAUGAGUUUGUGAUACAAGUUUUUCUAAAAGAGACCCAAUUACUGACAUGAGCGUUGGAGGAUUUUCGCCAAAAAAUUUUUGGUGCCGCUCUAAUUGGAUAUUGUGAGUAUAGGUGAUUCAACUUAGCGAGUUUUGGUUGAAGCUAUCUACUCGAGUGCGAUAGCCGUCGCACUGAAUCAGCUCCCUAGCAAAUAAAAUUUAAACGUUGGCGCAGAUGGCCUGGUCGCAGUUCCAUCGAUCAGAUUCCUGCAUCAACACCGUCAGGACUCUACCAAGUUUACCUCAAGUUUCCAUCAAGACACAACAUGAUGAUCCAUGUCACAAAUUAUUUCUAAUGUUACGAUUAUAUUUAAUGGAAAUGACUCAGAAAUCUACUUCUAAUAGACGUUUUUAGAUUUAGUCCCGUGUAUUUUAUACAAUUGAAGCUUCCAGGAAAUUUUGCGGUAAUGUCAUAUGAUGUAUUGUCGGUAGACACGAUGAAAAUAAUUAAAAUGUCACUUUUUGACCAAGACUUGCUUUUCGUUUUGUCAUACAAACAAACAACAACAGAGAUGGGAAGAUAGAAUUUGUGUGACGCACAACUAUGCUUUCUCAAUAAAACAGAACUUUAAUUCUCCAAAUAGAAGUCCUCUGCUUUCCCCUGAAUUCCAUUAAGUAGCUGCCUGCUACAGUAAUGAGUUGACUCUAUUGACCACUGCUCGUAUAAAAAAAAUCUGAAUAAUAAACUUACAACUUGUGAGGCUUGUAACCAAAAGAUGCCUAAAACCAAUUAUUUCUAAGAGAAGUGGACAGCUUGAAUAAUAAAUGUACAAUAAAAAAUUUACUUUUGUUGUGAUUUUCACAAAUGGAUUAAAAAAAAAAUGAUUGGCGGAUUGAAUAAUGAAUGUACAAUAAACAAAAAAAUUUACUUUUGUUGUGAUUUUCACGGACGAACAAAAAAGACAAAAGGGAUUAUAAGUGUAUUUAAACGGUCCAUUAGCCUUUAACAUUUACUUUCAAAUCUUUACUUAUCUCAACAAGAAAUUUCUAUAACUUUAAAAAAAAAAAUUAAAGAUUAUAGUGGAAUUCUUCGGAAAGAAUAAAUUCUUGAAAGAUUUUGGUGGAAAUUUUCCAAAAUAAUAAAAUUUUUAAAAAGAUUAUCGUGGAAUUUUUCUAAAAGAAUAUUUUAUUCACUUUGCCCUAUAAAAUGCAAUUACAUUGAGGCCGCCCUUGAUAAAAUACUAAAAGAAAUCAUUGCUUUCCUCAACAUCAUGUCGACCAUAACUUUGAUUCUAUGCACCACUAAAGACCAUGAUCAUGGUUCGUAAUUGCUUUCAGCAGACACUUUUGAUUACACUUUUUGUUUUUGAGAAAUUAAUUAGAGCACAAAACAUUCCUUUCAUUGAUUUCUUUGAAAGAAACUUAGGUCCUCUUAUACUGUAAUUUUUUAGUUUUAAAUUAUUAAAAAAAUUAUAAUUAUAAGAUAAAAAUUAAUAGUAUAUAAUGAAUAUAAUUUUUAAAUAAUAAUUUUUAUAAAAUUAAUAAAAAUAUAAUAAAUUUUUCAUCAUACAACAUAAUUUUUAAGAUAUAAUAGUUAAUACUCAUUAAACACUUUAGUAUUAUAGUUUAAAAAUUACAAUUUCCCAAGCUCAAUUCCAAAUAAAGCCUUAAGUAGAAGAUUAAGUAAAAAUUUACGAUCUUUAUUGCUUCCGAUAAGCUCAAAAAUGCCAGUUAAUUUUCUUACAUUUUUUCAUUUCAAAUAAAAGUAAAAUGCCGAAUGUAUUAAAAUUUGUCAAAAUUUUAUGCUAAAAAUCAUUAGGAGAAAAAUGAUUAUUUUAGCCAUUUUGAGUCCCCCGACAGAUUUUGAGGGAGAUUGGAAUCUUGUGUAAUUUUGCUGUUUGGAGUUAUGAUGCAUCUUUAUCGUCUUUUCUGUUGACUGAACUUGAUUGACCUCUGCAUGCGACCUCAUGUAGGUCCGUCCGCUGAAAUACGGGUUACGUGUUCUUUAAUGGAUCAACUCGACCCGUAUUUGACCCGAUAUUGACCCGCGUUUGGUUGGACCGUAGGAUGUAUGUGACGUGUCUUGUUGGCCGUUGAUCCGCCUUGUGUGAGGGUACUGGAUGGUUGACGUUGUAUCUGGACCACUAUUUUGAUCAUAUUGAACGCGGUCCAAGGGUUCUGAAGCUGUCACGUACUCUGCUACUUCAAACCCUUGUUUAAUUCAAUUUGGUGGAUCCAACGGCCAUUUUCCGCAUCUCUUUAAAAUGUUAAAGCAUCAUUUUAAGCUCUACAGGCCGUCGAGUUCGAGCGAGCUUAUGAUGGGUGUCGAAGCCAACAAAAAUAAAUUCCUACUCUAAAUAAAUUGUGUAUAGUGAUUGAGCAGGGUCGUGUCCACAGAGAUCGGUAAUUAUUUAAAUCCUUUUGAAACGUAAAACGUAAAAUGGGGGAAUUGUUGACAAUAAUAAAAAUAAAAUUAAAAAUAACAAGAAUGCAAAUUAAAGUUGUAAUUCAAAUUGGAGAAAGCUCUGGUUGAAGGAAUUACCUCAGCUUGAUUCGACUACUGAUCAUUGAUUCAAAUAUAGAUUAUUAUUACUCAUGAAUAGACCGGUUAUAGCUACUAAGACCCUCUAAUAGACAAUCUCUCCUUAACUAGUCGAUAACCAAGGUACGACCGUUGGUUAUUUCCCUAAUCAAUAGACAACCCUAGAUACGAUCAUAGAAUUUAAUCAAUUGACAGCCUGAAAAACCAGAGAGACCCAAAUCCUAAUCAACACAUAUGAUGAUUCAUUUAAAUUAGAUUGUUUAUUCUCACAACACAACUCUCUGCUAUGUUAUUUGUCACAAACAUUAAAUUCUUCAUACAAUGAAUCCUUUAAUUGACAAUAGAUUAAGUUGAUAAUUAAAUAGUGGUCAAUUACCUAAUUAACAAACAUAAUCAUGAAAAUAAUUUAGAGAAUAAACAAAUACCCAAAAAGUAAUAAAACAAUUAAAGCACAAGAAAGAUCUCACAGUAGUGAUGAAUCAAAGCUUCAUUAACCUUCAACCAGAAAAAUGAGUUUAGUUCCUCAUAGAGAGAAGAGAAAAAUUAGAUCUAGGGUUUCUUUUUCUCCAAUCCAAAAAUCUCCCCUUUUUCACAAUAGAUUACUCCCUUAAAUACUCUCUCUCUCUUCUCUUUUAGAAUUCUAUUUAAAAUAAAAUACUAAUAUCUGAAAUAUUAAGUUCGUAAUUACAAAAAUAACCAAAAAUACAAAACACGUUAAACUAAAAACUGCAGGUCCGCAGUUGACAGCACGCGCCCACGCCUUAUCAACAAAGUUCUUCUGACGCUCAUAAUUUCUUCAAGAGAACAAUCCUCCUUAAACAUCAUCUUUUAGCUCAAUUUUAUCACCAAUCAAUAGAAUUGCACCUACAAAAGUAAAACACAAGUAAAACAUUAUUAUUAAGUGCAAAACAUCGAUAUUAAGGGAAGUAAACAAUGCAAAACUAGUGCAUAAAUUGCACUCUAACAAAUUCCCCCACACCAAGAUGAUGCUUGUCCUCAAGCAUAUAACUCAAGAUUAAUCCCAAAUCUCCACUCAAUUCUCAUCUCAACUCAUCCAAAAUAAUUUUAAGCAAGCAUACCUCAAGAAAUUAAGUCGAUCAACAUUCGAGAGACAAGGAUUUUAAAGCAUAGAAUCUCAUAAGAUAGAAUAAGAACAUUCAACCACCAAGAAGAUCCAUUCAAAAUUCAAGUGCAACAAGAUGUAAUAGCCCUCUCAAUAACUUCACUCCAUGCACUCAAAGUGUUUAGGGUGUCAUUUAUCCACUCAAAUCAAAUCAAAGAAUGCUAUUACCAUAAGCUUGCUCAUAUAUCACAUCUCAAUCCACAAAACAUGAAUAAAAUGCAAAAAUCUAAGGGUCUUAAAAGGGUUGUAAUGGGGUUAAAUGGGUUAAAUGAAAAAGAAAGGUUUACAAAAGAAAAAGAGAUCAAAAUGAGAAGAAUGAACUCAUUGAAUGAACUUAUGAUAUCAAAAUGCUUAUUUCUACUCAAGUCACCAAGAAUGUAAACAUUUUUUUUUUUUGAUUUUUUUUUUCGAUUUUUCUUUUUCAUUUUUUUUCAUUUUUUUUUUCAUUUUUUCAUUUUUUUUUUGUUUUUUUUGUUUUUUUCGAAUCAAACAAAAGAAACGAACCUUGCACAAUUUAAUUCAAGCAUAAUGCUUGUUGAUCUAAUUGAGAAACUUCAAUACAAGGUAGAAAAAGCAACAAAAUGUACCCACACAAUGAGUCCAAAAAUCUCCUUAAAUUGAGGCUAAAAAAGAAGAAAAAUGGUUAAGUAGACGGAGAGAAUUAGAUGGGUAAUGGUUAAGGCUCAAACAAAGGUAGCAAAUAAAGGUCUUCGGGUAGAGAAAAAGGAAAAUGCGAGAAUAGAAAAAUGGUAAAUGGUUUGCCCUUAUCAUUUUAAUGCCUAAAAUCCCGUAAUGCGGCUUCAACAUGCAUAACAAAGCAAGUUCUAGAAUAAACAAACUAAGAUUGAUAUUCACAUAACAAAAAUAUUAGAGCAAAGUGGUUGCUCAUAGGCUCAAAUCCUCACAAAGUUGGUAAAUUUGCCAUCAAAUCAUGUACACUCUUCAAAUGAAUCAACCAUCAAUAGUGGUGUAGAAUGGGAAGAAGGUAUGAGUGAAGGAAAGGUAAAAAUGAUAAGAAGUGAGAAAGAUGUAUGUAGUAAUAUGAAAAGUGAAAGAUAAAAUGUGAGUGAUGAAAGAGUAUGAUAGAAUAAAAAUAGAUGUAAAUAAUUUGAGAUAGAUGGGAAAAAAGUAGUGAGAAAGAAAAGAAAAGAAAAAUAAUAAUAUAUGAAGCAUACUAACUCCAAAAUCAUUUAAGGAUGAGUAGAGUGAAAAUAGAUGAGUAGAGUGAAAACAAUAAUUCCAGACAUCAAUAAUGCAAAAAUCCCUCCCCCACACCAAGAACUGACAUUGUCCCCAAUGUAAGAUAAUCAAAGCUCACAUAAAAAUUAAAGCGUAAGGAUAAAAGAUUAAGGGCAAAAACUUCCCUGAAUUGUGAUCUUUGAUCCUCAUAACGUCUAUAGGCUUGGCGGGAAUGGUGGGAUAAAUCCCACACUCUUGAAGUAUGCGGCCAAAUUCUGCUCCAUCUUGUCACGGAUUUCGAUUCACGCGCCUGGAAUGCAGGUCGUAGGCUGGUUGCGUUGCGAUUGCUGCUCGGCUGGAGCUUGCUUGAUGGACGCGGGAUGGCACUGAUUGUGUUGCGCGCGCGCGCUGGGGCUGCUGGAUCUGCACGCUGCGUGGGCUGUGUUGCGAGGCGUUGCUGCUGCUGCUUCACGAGGGUGAUUGCUGGAUUGAUUUGUGCUGUGCGCGCGGGCUGGAGCUGAGGAUCUGUGUUGCGGGGCGUUACUGCUACUGCUUCGCGGGAUGUGUUGCGCGCACGGUUGCUGCUGAUUUCGCACGAUGGUGAUGGCUGGGGCUUGCUGCGUUGCGCGCGGCAGCUUUCGCUGGUGGGACUUCGUUGCGCGCUGCUGGGCUGCGAGACACGGGAUGCUGGUGCUGCGCUCACGGGAUGGUGCGUUUUCCGGCGGGCUGGUUUGUUGCAGGUGUGUUGCAAGCGGCUGGAGAAGAAAACAAGUUCUGGAAAAUUAGGGAUUUUGUGAACAGUGAAUAGUGAACAGUGAUUUUCGAUUUUUGGUUUUUUUUUAAAUAAAUAAAUAAAUAAAAAGAAAGAAAGGAAUGAAAAAAAAAAGAAAAAAAAUAAAAAUAAAAAUAAAAUAAAUAAUUUUUUUUUUUUUUUUUUUUAGUGAUGAAUCACUUUGAGACACUAAAAAUUUCAGAAGUACUUUUCUAAUAAGUACGUGGGCACGCCUUAUAAAAAAUUUUCUUCUGACCAAAAUAAGCAAACACAUUAAAUUUCAGAAGUACUUUUCUAUUAAGUACGUGGGCACGCCUUAAAACUAUGUUACUUUAAAAAUUACAGAAGUACUUAUUAGCUAAGACGUGGGCACGCCUUAUCAAAAAUUUUCUUCUGACCAAAAUAAGCACAAUUUUUUUUUUUUGAAUCAAAAUUAAAAGAAGAUAUAACAAAAACCAAAAUAAAUAAAUCAUUUGGGUUGCGUCCCAAAAAGCGCCUUUGUUUUAUGUCUUUGGCUAGACACAUUUAUGCAUCAAUCUCCAUAAUUGGGACUCUCGAGAGCCACAUCCUCCACAAUAUUCACCGAAAAACCUUCAUAAAAAGGUUUUAAGCGAUGACCAUUAACCUUAAAAAUUUUGUCAGAGGUCGGACUCUGAAUCUCAACUGCACCAUGAGGAAAAAUAUUAGUAACAAUAAAAGGUCCAACCCAACAAGAACGUAAUUUACCCGGAAAAAGUUUAAGCUUAGAAUGAAAAAGAAGAACUUUUUGACCAACAGAGAACUCCUUUCUCAAAAUCAUUGUAUCAUGAAAUGUCUUCGUCUUUUCCUUGUAAAAAACUUCCUGCACUAUAAGGUUAAUAACAUCCACAGAAAAUACCGAAUGUUCCUCACUAGGAUAUUUCAUGGCAUCAUUCAUAUUGAAUUCUAUAACCUCUCCAUCAAACUCCAUAGUGAGAGUCCCUUUAUGUACAUCCAUUUUAGUCCUAGCAGUCUUAAGAAAAGGUCUUCCUAGCAAAAUUGGGACAGAAUUAGAGGAGUUAUCAUCUUCCAUAUCAAGUACAUAAAAAUCAGCAGGAAAAACCAACUCAUUAACUUGUACUAAGACAUCUUCUAAUACCCCAUCAGGAUAUGCAUUAGACCUAUCAGCUAGUUGAAUUAUCACGCCAGUUUCUUUUAAUGCACCAAUAUUCAAAGACGAAUAAAUGGAACGAGGCAUGACAUUAAUAGAAGCUCCUAGAUCUAACAUAGCCUUUUCAACUUUGACAUUACCAAUUUUGCAAGGGAUAGUAAACAUACCUGGAUCCUUGCACUUAGGAGGUAGUUUCUUUUGGAGAACUGCUGAAACAUUCUCCCCCAUAUGAACUUUUUCAUCUCCUCUUAAUUUUCUCUUAGAGGUGCAUAGUUCCUUAAGGACUUUAGCAUAUCGAGGUAUUUGUUUUAUAGCAUCUAAUAAAGGAAUAUUUACCUCAACCUUGCGAAAUGUCUCAAGGAUGUCUUUCUCUUGUUCCUCCUUCUUGGAUUUUGCAAACCGGCUUGGAAAAGGAGGAGGUAUCACAAUAGGUAGGGGUUUCGCUCUGGUGGGUUGUGCAUCUUGAGAUUGAGGCAUCAAUUCAUUCUUCUCAAGCUCAUCUUCUACAUGCUCUGUCACUUUCUUACUAGGCUCUUGCAACUCCUUCCCACUUCUAAGGAUGACAGCACUAACGUUUUGCUUUGGAUUCACCUCAGAUUGUGAAGGCAAUCUCUCUAAUACUUGAGACUCCAGGCGGCUCAUUGUAGUCGCCAAUUGACUCAUUUGGUUCUCCAAGUUCUGAAUGCUUGUUGUAGUUGCCUGCUGAAAUUGUUGAGUGUUAGUCGCAAGCGAUUUAACAAUUUCUUCAAGAGAUAUACCUGACUUGGAGGUUGACUGUGGAGGUGCUGGUUGUCUUGGUGGAUACUGUUGUGGGAAUCCUGACGGCCUAACUCCAUAGCUGAAGUUGGGAUGAUCCUUCCAUCCCGGAUUGUAUGUUUGUGCAUAAGGAUCAUACCUCCUCUGAGGCAUGCCUGGAAAUCCUCCAACUGCAUUGGCUUGUUCAACGGGUUCUUCUUGAAGUGUAGGACACAUAUCAGUUGAAUGACCCAUAUUGUAACAAAUACCACAAGUCUUCACCUGUUGCACAUUACCUACAACAAACUUUUCCACAAGAGAAGUGAGUUUAUCUAAACGUUGUUCAACAGAAGAAAUAUUUACCUCAUUCACCUUCCUUGAAGUGGGAUCUUGCCUGCUGCCAAAUUGUUGUGUGUUGGUAGCCAUAUUUGAUAUCAACUCCCUUGCUUGAGUAGGAGUCUUGUUCACCAACACGCCUCCACUAGCAGCAUCUAUCAUACUUCUAUCCAUCAAUGAUAGUCCUUCGUAAAAAUAUUGAAUAAGAAGUUGAUCAGAAAUCUGAUGCUGAGGACAGCUGGCACACAAUUGUUUGAAUCGCUCCCAAUACUCAUACAAAGUCUCCCCAGGAAGUUGUCUAAUCCCACAAAUGUCUUUUCUGAUGUUGGCAGCUCUUGAAGCAGGAAAGUACUUCUCGAGGAACUGCUUCUUCAAAUCAUUCCACGUUGUAAUCGAUCCAGGAGGCAAGUAAUACAACCAGUCUUUAGCUAGCCCAUCUACAGAGAACGGAAAAGCACGCAGCUUAAUCUGCUCUUCAGUCACGCCUUGUGGUCUCAUACUUGAACACACAACAUGAAACUCCUUGAGAUGUUUAUGAGGAUCUUCACCUGAAAAACCAUGAAACUUGGGUAAUAAAUGAAUAAGACCAGACUUUAAUUCAAAAUUUACCUCCAAGUCUACAUAUUGAAUGCAGAGUGGUUGCUGAUUCAAGUCUGGUUCAGCUAACUCUCUAAGAGUUCUUUCUAUAGGUGCAGGUCUAUCCAUCACUUGUUCUUCCGAAUCGCUAGAUGAUUCAACUAAAUCAGGCACCGUAUCUGUUUCAGAAAGCAAAGGCGACGAGGAUCGUUGCUUAGCUCGCUUCGUCUGUUGUCUCAGCUGGCGAGCUGUCUUCUCAAUUUCAGGAUCAAACGAAAGUGUACCUGUACGAGAAGAACGAACCAUACACCAAGUAAAACGUAAAAAAGAUUAAAUAAAUGACACCAAUCCCCGGCAACGGCGCCAAAAUUUGAUGGGUGUCGAAGCCAACAAAAAUAAAUUCCUACUCUAAAUAAAUUGUGUAUAGUGAUUGAGCAGGGUCGUGUCCACAGAGAUCGGUAAUUAUUUAAAUCCUUUUGAAACGUAAAACGUAAAAUGGGGGAAUUGUUGACAAUAAUAAAAAUAAAAUUAAAAAUAACAAGAAUGCAAAUUAAAGUUGUAAUUCAAAUUGGAGAAAGCUCUGGUUGAAGGAAUUAGCUUAGCUUGAUUCGACUACUGAUCAUUGAUUCAAAUAUAGAUUAUUAUUACUCAUGAAUAGACCGGUUAUAGCUACUAAGACCCUCUAAUAGCCAAUCUCUCCUUAACUAGUCGAUAACCAAGGUACGACCGUUGGUUAUUUCCCUAAUCAAUAGACAACCCUAGAUACGAUCAUAGAAUUUAAUCAAUUGACAGCCUGAAAAACCAGAGAGACCCAAAUCCUAAUCAACACAUAUGAUGAUUCAUUUAAAUUAGAUUGUUUAUUCUCACAACACAACUCUCUGCUAUGUUAUUUGUCACAAACAUUAAAUUCUUCAUACGAUGAAUCCUUUAAUUGACAAUAGAUUAAGUUGAUAAUUAAAUAGUGGCCAAUUACCUAAUUAACAAACAUAAUCAUGAAAAUAAUUCAGAGAAUAAACAAAUACCCAAAAAGUAAUAAAACAAUUAAAGCACAAGAAAGAUCUCACAGUAGUGAUGAAUCAAAGCUUCAUUAACCUUCAACCAGAAAAAUGAGUUUAGUUCCUCAUAGAGAGAAGAGAAAAAUUAGAUCUAGGGUUUCUUUUCCUCCAAUCCAAAAAUCCCCCCUUUUUCACAAUAGAUUCCUCCCUUAAAUACUCUCUCUCUCUUCUUUUUUAGAAUUCUAUUUAAAAUAAAAUACUAAUAUCUGAAAUAUUAAGUUCGUAAUUACAAAAAUAACCAAAAAUACAAAACACGUUAAACUAAAAACUGCAGGUCCACAGUUGACAGCACGCGCCCACGCCUUAUCAACAAAGUUCUUCUGACGCUCAUAAUUUCUCCAAGAGAACAAUCCUCCUUAAACAUCAUCUUUUAGCUCAAUUUUAUCACCAAUCAAUAGAAUUGCACCUACAAAAGUAAAACACAAGUAAAACAUUAUUAUUAAGUGCAAAACAUCGAUAUUAAGGGAAGUAAACAAUGCAAAACUAGUGCAUAAAUUGCACUCUAACAGCUUACAAGUGCUAAGGCCAAAAAAUUAAUCUUGGGGAAGAAUUUAAUGAGUGACUUCUUAUUUUUAUAUCCUUAAAAUUUAUUUUUAAACCCUAGAUUUUGGAGAAAUACUUUUCUUAAGGGCUGGAAGCAAAUGUUUUAGAUUGGAAUUUGAAUGAGUGCAAACUAUGUUAUUGUCAGACAUCAAAAAUCAAAUUAGCAUUUAUUUUCUUGUCUUGUCUUUAGCUCCAUCAAGUUCGUUGAUGCAUGGUCUUUGAAUUUGAAGGUAUUAAAUCCAAAAUGGAUUCUCUCACAUCCAAUAUCAUUUUACUCUUAAAUUUAUCUAGUGAGCAGAUUUUGAUGCUUGAUUCAAGUAGAAAAACAAUUGUGAGGACUGUGAGGAUUUUUUUUUAAAUUAAAAACCGCCUUAAGAUGGGGUGUGGGUUUAGGCGGGACCCCUUCAUUAGUAAAUUAAUAAAAGAAAAGAAAAUUCAUAUGGAGAGAGAUAUAUGCCAAAACCUCGAAGCAUGGAAACAAAUACAUCCAAUAACUAGAAAAAUAACAAAAGCAAUAGAAGAUAGGACUAAUUAAUGCAACCAUCUAGAGAAUCGCUUCCAAUUCCUGCGGCUAGUAACCAAUGUGAAACCUUUCUUAGAAUUGGAGGCACGCGGUCCGGUCCGGCAAUACGAAAGUCAUCAAGAUCAUGCCCUCUAGUACCCUUAGGCUCAAAUGCAAAAUAUUCAUUAGUCACAGGAUUCCCAUCAGAGCUAAACUUCUCAUCAAAUUGAAAAAGGAUAUCUGUAGAAUGGGGAUUGAAGCCCACGAUCAUGGAGCGAAUAUCCUCUUCAGUAGCUCAAAAAAAAGUAGCAUCGAUGGAAGCCCUCUAAACACCUGGAUCAUCUAAAAAAGGAGGGUUAGAGACCUCAGUGCAUCCAGUAGCAUCUCUUAAAGCAGUAGGAUUCUUCAAACCAUCAUCAGUUUGAACUCUUUUCAUAGAAACCAGAUCAAACCCAUCUUCUGUAGUAUCCUGAUAAAUAGGUGACUGAGCAUCUAGAAGAGCACCCUCACUACCAUUCGACCUCAAUGGCUCAACCUCUUUGCCAUCCCCUUUGGAUGCACAAUAGCAUUAGACAUCAGCAUCUUGCCUUUAUCAUGAAGAACAAUAUCCCGCACCUGAUUAACUGGCUGCCAGGGCUCUCAGAGCCCAGGAUUGGCAACAAAAAAAGUAUCAGUAGAGUACCCAAGAUGCUUACACGAAGCAUAGUAUAAAGGAACACGCUCAAAAAUGACAUUCUGCCAGAAAAUGCCAUCACCUUCACUAGUCCAAAGUUUGGGCAACAACGGCCGCAAAACAUCCAACUCAAUCGGAACUCUAGUGAUCGAGGGUUGAUUAACAACAACAGUAGCAUGGUCCAUCCGUAGAGGCUUACCAAUAGCAUUAGCAAUAGAAAAUAAGACAUCUUUGCAAUGAAUAAAAUGCACUUGCAAAUACGGCAAAGAAACUCAAGUAAGAAGAAUAGGAGAUUCCUCAAAGCACCAAAAUGAAGUCUAUGAGACUACGCUACAUGAGACUCAAACACAAAGGCCUAAUUCUUGGUAAGGCUGCCCACCUAAAUCCACUUGGAAAAUGUUCAAACAUACUUUUGAUAAUGUAUUUUAGUCUGUGAGGGUUGACACAAUAGAAUUUGGAUUCGAGAUGUUUACGGUUGCGAAGCUUCUGUAAGUGUUCUUGGUCCAUUGUAAACUCACAUUAUUUUCAUAGUGAAUUGUUUCGUCUACAAGUGGACAUAAUAACAUGUCGAGAUUUUUAUCCUAAAUCGCGAGGAUCAAAGGUUUUCUUGUAAAAACAUCUAUGUGUUGUGGAUGUCCAUUUAUUUUGCAUAUUUAUUUUCAUUACCAUAAAUUGAUUUUUAAAUUUAUUGAUAGUGUUUAUUAAAUUAUCUUUAUUAACUAGGAAAUAAAAUCAUUAAUUUUAAAGAGAUUAUUAUUAUUAUUACCAAGUAUAUAAAGAUAAUGAAAUAAAAAAAUAAAACUAAUAAUAUAAAUAUUUACUUUAGUUAUCAAUUAUUAUAUAUACACACAAUUAAAAAUAUUUUAUAUACAUACAUUAUAAGUAUGAAAAUAAAUUUUAUUCAAAACUAUGUCCAAUUUAAUCAUUUAUAUUCUUGUCAUUUACAAUCUUAUUAUAAUUUAAUAGUAAGAUUUACCAAAUACAUAGAUUGUUUUUUAAACUCACAGAACUUUUGAAAAAUUGUAUCAAACGUUUAAUUGGUUAUCUUUAUAGUUGACUAUUUUUACAGUACAGUUAGCAGUAAUUAUUUUAAAAACUAUAAUAUUAACAAAAUGAUCCAACAUCUUUUAAGGACCCAGCUGAAAUUUAACUAAUACAGGUUUACCAUUACUAUAGAUUGCCGGUAGUUUUAACUAUUUUUAAUUAAUUAUUAAUAUCAACCGUUGGAUUCCAUUCCAUUCUAAUGGAAUCCAAUGGCUUCAGCAUGGGUGAUGGGCAGAGUGGCAUGGACGCGUAAUCAAUUGAAAAGCCAGAUAUUCUUCGCUUAGAUUCCUUGAAGCUUCCAGCAAGCUCGAUGCUAACUCCAUCGUGUGAGUAAUCGAUUGAAAAGCCAGAUAAUUUUCAUUUAGAUUCCUUGAAGCUUCCAGGAAGGUUGAUGGUAACUUCAUCAUUAGAGUAAACAAAGACGAUAUUUUUGAAGCAACAAAUAUGUUUCACUGAUUAACUUAGCUUUCUUUGAAGCAACACUUCAAUGAAAUUCAACAGGUAGCUGCCUGUGCAAUUAAUACACUCAAAGCUUUAAGAUUUAUUUUAAGUUUUAUCUUAUACAUGUUUCUCUCAAAUACAAGCUUUUAGCGCGGCAUGCAAAAUACACCCCGUUUAAAUCUAAUCACACCUCUCUAAUUUUUUUUUUUUUCGCCCCAAAGACGUAAUGGAGUAGUCAAAGGGUAUAACCAUUAGAUUCCUUUCGCUUUUUUGCUUUUUUCACCCCCACUUUCUGAGAAGACCAAGACUUGCUUUUGGAAUACAUAUAAAUAAAUCCGGGGGAGCUGGAAGUUGCAUUUUUGUUUUCCCUUUGAAUCAAAACACUUCAUCGGAGUUGAUCAGAUCAAUUAGGUGGCUUCUUUCAACACACUCAAAGCUGUAAGUUUUAUUUUAUCCUCAGAAUUAAUUUGCACAUUCUGGAUGUUUAGAACAGGAAAUAUAUAAAAUUGAAAGAAAGCUUUGAAUGUUUAAAUUAAUUUGUAUAGUAUCAACUCUUUAAUUUGCUUCUCUUUGAGGCUCUAAUUAAGAUUUGCUUGAGCAAAGGUCGGCAAACACACUCUCCAAUCAGAAUCUGAAAAACUUUUUAAUUAUAUUUUGGAAGUAAAUGAGAGGCUGUUAAUUAGUUUGUUUAGUUAAGAAGAAGAUCAUUAAUUUGUUGUUCAAUAAUUUUAUGCUAAAAGAAAUUAUCAUAGUAAUUAUAUUAUUUUCAUUUUUGUGCUGCCCAUAAUCUUGAAUGAAUCUUAUUGUUUGCAUGGUAUUUUACGCUCACUGGAUUUCACUUGAUUUAUUCUAAAUUUUUAGGAACAAAUUAAUAUAAUGGCUUCCACGAGCUUCCAAAAUGUCUCUCAUGGGGAAUACGAUGCCUUCUUAAGCUUUAGAGGAGAAGACACCCGUAAAAUGUUCAUAGGUCAUCUCUAUACUGCCUUGAACAAUAAAGGAAUUUAUGUAUUCAGGGAUGACAAACAACUUGAGAAAGGAGGAUCCAUUUCACCAAAUCUCCUUAAAGCAAUUGAAGAAUCAAGAAUUUCAAUUAUUGUUCUCUCAAAAAAUUACGCUUCUUCCACUUGGUGCUUGGAUGAACUUCUUAAGAUUGUUGAAUGCAAAAAUAGAGAGGAUCAAAUUUUUCCAAUUUUUUAUGAAGUGGAACCAACUGUUGUAAGAAAACAAACAGCAAGUUUCGGAGAAGCUUUUGCUAAACAUGAAGAAUUUUUCAGGGAUAAUAUAGAAAAAGUGCAAAAGUGGAGACACGCUUUAAAGGUGGUGGCCAAUAUAUCAGGCUGGGAAUUGAAGGAUAGGUAAUCAUUCUUUUUCUCAACUAUUAAUUUUGUUCGUUUUGCAAGAUUAGUAACUACAAAACAGAUUUUAAUAUUCAUUCAACACUGUUUUCAAUUAAACAACUUCUAUUUAAUACAUAUGUAUAUCGUAUGAUGUGUAGUAAAAGGGUUCCUCCCGUGAAUUGAAUAUCUUUAAAAUAUACCUUCACUUUUGAAAACUUCAAUUUACCUCCCAUUUUUGUUAAGAAUACAAAAACAUUUCAUCAACUCACCCCAUUUUUCCUUCUCUUUUGAACAAAAAUAGGGUAAUUGAGGUGUUCAAAAGGGAGUGAUUUGAAGAUAUAUAAAAUUUUGAAAUUACCAAUCACAAUGCAACCCAGUCCAAUCCAAUUUUUAUUGGGUUGGGUUUGAAUUUCUCAUUCCAAUUGUUGUUGACUGAUGUAAUAAUAACAUAUUGUUUAAUUAUAUGACUUCAAUUUGAUGAAAUGAAUAUUGCAUAGUUUGGAUUUUAUUCAUAAUAUGGAAUUGAUUUGUUACUACGUUCAUACUAACUUUGAUUUAACAAUACCAAUCUUUUCUUGUUGUUUUCAAUCUGCAGGAAUGAGUCAGAAUUUAUUGAGGAAAUUGUCAAUGUCAUAUCUAGUAAAAUUCGUUCAGAACCAGAGAUUCUUAAGGAGCUAGUAGGAAUGGAAUCACGCUUGGAGAAACUGAGGUUUCUUAUGGGUACGGGGUCUAAUGAUGUUCGUAUGAUCGGGAUAUGGGGUAUGGGAGGUCUAGGAAAGACAACUCUUGCAAGGGUUGUUUAUGACUUGAUGUCUCAUGAGUUUGAUGGGAGUAGUUUUCUUGCCGAUGUUAGAGAAAAAUUUGAAAAAGAAGGCAGUGAAAUCUCUUUACAAAAACAGCUCCUUUCUGAUUUACUGAAGCUUUCAGAUUAUAGCAUACAGAAUGUCUACGAUGGUAUUAACAUAAUUGGAAGUAGGCUGCAACGGAAAAAAGUUCUUCUCAUAAUUGAUGAUGUGGCUGAUGUUGAACAAUUACAAAGGUUAGUUGGAAGGCGUGAUUGGUUCGGUCCAGGCAGCAGGAUUCUAAUAACAACGAGAGAUAGACAAUUGUUGGUGGCACAUGAAGUGGAUGAAGAGCAUAUUCUUGACCUUGAUGUACUAAAUAACGAUGAAGCUCUUCAACUCUUUAGUAUGAAAGCUUUUAAAAGCCAUCAGCCUAUGGGAGAAUAUGUGGAGCUGUCUAAACGUGUUCUGGAGUAUGCUGGUGGUCUUCCAUUAGCUCUAAAAGUUUUGGGAUCCUUUCUAAUUGGUAGAUCUGCAGAUCUAUGGAGAAGUGCCCUAGAAAGACUAAAAAAAGAUCCUUCAAAUAAGAUUAUGAGUAUACUUCAAAUAAGUUUUGAAGGACUACAAGAUUCAGAGAAGAAAAUAUUUCUCGAUGUUGCAUGUUUCUUUAAAUGGAAGAAUAGAGAUUAUGUAACAAAAAUUCUAGAGGGGUGUUGUUUUUCCCCAGCCAUUGGAAUAGAAGUUCUUAUCGAAAAGUCUCUAUUAACUGUUGAUGACGACAACAUACUGCAUAUGCAUGAUUUGUUACAGAAAUUGGGACAACUGAUUGUUACGAGACAAUCCCCCGAAGAACCUGGGAAACGUAGCAGAUUAUGGAAGAAAGAAGAAGUACGCCAGGUGUUGAUAGAAAACACAGUAAGUGAAUUAUUAAAUGAAAAACUUGUUGAUGCUUGCUACUUUAUUUUCCCCAAUUAUAUCUCUGACCAAAUUUUCAACAUCUUUACAUUAUUGUUUUAUUCACUCAUCCUUUGCUUAUAAUCUUUAGGGAGGUGAAGUAGUGGAAGGAAUAAUAGUUAAUGCCUACUUUCCUGAAGAUGAGGUUUACUUAAGUGCAAGUGCUAAAGCAUUUUCGCAGAUGACCAACCUAAGACUGCUCAAAAUCAGUAAUGUGCAACUUCCUGAAGGUCUAGAAUACCUCUCUAACAGGUUGCGAUUACUUGAUUGGCAUCGGUAUCCUUUGAAAUCUUUGCCAUCAAAUCUGCAAUUGGAUAAAAUUGUUGAAUUUAAAAUGUGUUACAGCCGCAUUGAAGAAUUAUGGAAAGGAUUCAAAGUAAGAUCAAUUUUUUUUUUGUCACAAAUUUAUAUUUUUCAGAGAAUAAUUGUGGAUAACAAUUUUAUUAUUAUAGUAGUAUAUGAAUUAAGAAAUAUCAUUUUAGCUCCUUUUUUGUUUUCAACAACCUUUAAACAUGUUGAGAGUCAUGGAACUCAGCCAUUCAGAGAAUCUGAUUAAGACUCCAGACUUCACAGAGGUCCCAAAUUUGGAGGAGUUGGAUGUUGAAGGAUGUACAAGGUUGCGUGAAAUUCACCAGUCUUUGCUACGUCACAAUAAGCUGAUCUUGUUGAAUUUGAAAGGUUGUACAAGUCUUACAACUCUUCCGGGUGAGAUAUUUAUGAAAUCGCUUAAAACACUUGUUCUUUCUGGUUGCUUGAAAUUGAGGAAACUUCCACGCAUUGUCGGAAGUAUGGAGUGUCUACGGGAACUUCUUUUGGAUGAAACUGAUAUCAAAAAACUGCCUUUAUCUAUUGAGCUUCUAUCCAAACUUGUCUUGUUGAAUUUGAAGGAUUGCAGAAAUCUAGAGACUCUUCCAAUUACUGUAAGCAGCUUAAAAUGUCUAAGAACUCUAAAGCUCUCUGGUUGCUCGAAAAUAGUGAAAUUUCCAGAGACUGUGAUAAGUGUGGAAGAUCUGUCAGAGCUCUUUUUAGAUGGAACUUCUAUCACAGAAGUGCCAUCAUCUAUAGAGCUUUUGACCAAACUUCAAUGGUUGAAUUUGAAUGACUGCAGAAGUCUCGUGAGACUUCCUAGCAGUAUAAAUGGUUUGAAAUCCCUCAAAACUUUGAAUCUCUCAGGCUGCUUCAAACUCGAAAAUGUGCCUGAGACGCUUGGGCAAGUAGAAAGUCUGGAAGAACUUGAUAUAAGUGGUACAGCUAUAAGGCAACCUCCAUCGUCGAUUUUUCUUAUGAAGAAUCUUAAAGAACUAUCUUGUCGUGGGUGCAAAGGAUCACCAUCAUCUGCAUCAUGGUUUCUGCGCUUCCCUGUCAAUUUGAUACGAAGGAGUUCAGAUCCGGUGGCUUUGAGUUUGCCGUCUUCUCUGUCAGGUUUGUGUAGUUUAACGAAAUUGGAUAUCAGUUACUGUGAUCUAGGGGAAGGAGCAAUCCCAAGUAGUAUUGGCGACUUAUGCUCAUUAGAAAAGUUACAUCUGAGUGGAAACAGUUUUGUUUCGCUACCGGCAAGCAUCUACCGUCUUUCUAAUCUUCAGGGGAUUAAAUUAGAGGAAUGCAAAAUGCUUCAAAAUCUGCCUCGACUUCCAGCCAGUAUACGUUGGAUUUCGUUAGACGGUUGUGUUUCGUUGGAAACAUUAUCAGAUGUAUUAAAUUUAAACGAGCAUCGACUCCCGCACUUAGGCCUUCAUUGUGUGGAUUGCUCGAAAUUGGCUGGCAACUAUGAUUUGGCGCUUUCGCUGCUAAAAGAGUACAUUAAAAAUUCUGAGGUCAGUCUCUCACUCUCACCUGUGCUAACAUUAUGCCUAAAACUGAUGCAAUACAUGUUAUGUCUUUUUAUUUUAUUUAUUUACUCACUUUUUUUUUUGUGGGGUUGCAGAAUAUGUCAUUGUCGGACAAGUACAUUAAACUGAGAGAGGUCAGUUUCUUACACUGUCUCUCACCUGUUGCUAAAAUCAUGCCUAAAAAUUAUGCAUUGGUUUGGCUUUCUAAUAUAUAUAUAUAUAUAUAUAUUUGUGGGGUUUAGCAUUGUUGGAGAGGUUUUAGCAUUGUUGUUCCUGGAAGUGAAAUCCCAGAGUGGUUCGAGUAUCAGAAUAAUGAGUGAUAUGCUAUAAGGCAACCUCCAAAGACGUAUAAGAAUAGUAAGCUUGUGGGAUAUGCUAUGUGCUGUGUUUUUCAUGUCCCUAAAUAUUCACUUCCUUAUUAUCAUCCGAACUUUCCAUAUCCCGUACAUUAUCUGUGUGGCUGGCAUACCGACUGGUAUGGUUAUGGAAUUUCGUUUGGAAAGCAAUUCGGUCAGGCUGUGUCGGACCAUCUUUGGCUAUACUACCUGAAUAGGGAAGAGGUGUGGCGAUACUACCAUAAUAUUUAUAAAGUGAAAUUUUCUUCGCCGUCGGUAUUGGUGCUGAAGAGGUGUGGUGUCCAUCCAAUUUAUGUGCAUCAAGGGGAUAAGUUCAACCAAACAACUGAUCCGGUUUGGAAUUUGAACGAAUUUGGUCACGAUUGUUCAGGAUCAACAUCCUUUACGCGUAGCCUUAAUGAUGACUUAGACAGGGCAGAAGGCAGUGGAAGUUGCUGCGGGGAUGAUGCAGGAUCAACAACGUCGUCUGAGCGAAGCUUUCUAAAGCGAAGUCUUGAAGAAUAUGUUGGGGCGGCUGAAGCUAGUGGAAGUGGCUGCUGUAAUGAUGAUGAGGAACCACAACCUAAAAGAUUUAGACAACUUGAAUGAAGGGCACAUAUUUUAUUUUUCUCUGCAGAUCGCAUUUCAUUUACUUUCUUUGUAUUUAUUUAUUGUAUCUGUUCUUGUUACUUAUUUCCCUGUUAAAUUACCAGAAAAUGCCUGGCUUGGGUCAAACAGUUGGACAGAUGUUUUAUUACUCUGUUUUUCCUGCAAAAGAUGCCGUACAUAGAUGCGGUGAGCGCGAGUUGUUUGGUAUACUUGAAGGGGCUCGG
rnacentral:lncRNA from 1 species